rnacentral:lncRNA from 1 species
CUUCUUUUGCUUUCUUCUUCUUCUUUUACUGACAUGAUUCCGCACUGCCAUCAUCAUCUUCUUCUUCAGUCUCGACGGAAACAAGUACCUUUUGUAGCUUUAUCUUUCUCCUUUUCUAGCUUACCGCUGGGCAAGCGUAGAAACCAUGUCAAGCUGCGUUCCUAGGGUUGUGUGUUCAGUAUCAGAUGACUGCAAUCUCCAUCGAGACAUUUGACUGGGCUAAUCAAACCUUGAACUUGCAUAGGAUGCCCUUGCUUCAAGUCAUUAAAGCAUGUCUAUUAGAGAUUCUUGUUGUUGGCUGUGGGCUAAGUUAUUUAAGUGUGAUGAUAUGGGUUUUGGUGCGAGUUUAGACUGUGGUGUUGCUGAAAUCUUUUCAUGCACACUUAGUUCAUGAUGCAUGUCCAGUGACUCCUGCUGCAAACUAGUUCAUUGCUAGUAGUUGGGUACAGCUAAAAGGGCAAUUCAAUCAUUAAUUAUACUCUUAACACGUCAAUUACAUCGAUUCUUGCGUCUGUCAUUGGAGGUCAAAGGCAUCACCCCUAUAAUCCAAGCUGUCAACCAAUCAAGCUAGAGGAAAAGCAUGAGAACACAAAGCAUAUUGGUGACAUCAUGAACCCUUGUAGUUUUUAGACUGCUGACCAAGCCAUAUGAAUCACAUAGACUCUCUCUCUCUCUCUCUCUCUCUCUAAAGUAUAAAUCCUGUCUGCCAUUGUGAGUUUGUGCUUUAACAUGGUAGAGAAAGAAGAGUGGCUUAUACUAAUAUCACUUGAGGAGAUAAAACUCUUUUAUAUUUGCCACUAAGACCAUUAAUUAGGGCUUCUCACAAUGCCAAGAGGCCAUUGAGUGAAUGAAGGAGACUGUUCUUUGACUCUCUCUCUCUCUCUCUCUCUCUCUCUCUCUCUCUCUCUCUCUCUCUAGGAUCAUAAAGUGUGGGAGACAACAUCUCAUGUAAACACACCAAAUGCUGUCAUCUUCUACUGAACGAUGGGCCCACUGGAUUCAGAAAGAAGAAGACUUUCAUUACAUGAACAUGCACCAUUUGAUGCUAGUUUCUUUCUAAUGGCUAUUAACUUACACUAUCAUAACCCACACCAUCUCCAACAAUUAUUAAUAAUUCUACCCUAUUUGGUUAGUCAAUCAACACAAAUAGAAACUUCUCUAAAGCAUGAUUAAAUCCUUUGAAUCACAUUUUUCAGAAUGCAUUAAACACAUUCAAAAAGUUGGAGGAAUCAUAUUGUGAAAGCUUUGGACAGCUUAUACCUGUGGUCUUUACAUAUGUUUCAAACAGAAAAUAAUAUUGUUCAGCCCAAGUAUUACUUUUAUUUUGUAUCCAGCCCACCUAUUUUGGGCCCAUUAUGAGAUCAUUAUGGUUUAAUAGCUUAACAUGCAUAUAUUAUGAGAUCACAUGCAUUUAUCACUAGCCUUCUCAGCCCCCUUGACAUCUAAAACAACUCUCUCUCUCUCUCUCUCUCUCUCUCUCUCUCUCUCUAUAUAUAUAUAUAUAUAUAUAUAUAUAUAUAUAUAUAUAUAUAUAUACAUACCUACAUACAUACAUAUACAAACAUACAUACAUACACACAUACAUACAUACAUACAUACAUUACUUAAAAUUUUAUAAAUCAAUAACAAGCAAUUUGACAAUGAGAAAGUAAUAUUAUGACUACAAUAUUAUUAAUUUUCAUCAAGCAAAGGAGUAAUUGUAAAUAGACAUGUAGGAUUGAUCUUGUGGUGAGCAUGUAGGUUUAGCUAUUGAGUGUGGGGUUCACAAUAUACCUAAUUUCAAAAUUCAUUUAAUAAAUAUCAUAAUUAGAUAUAAGAGGAUGGAAUGGGCACAAGAUUUUUUUGAAAAAUACAAUUUUUAGAAUUUUGGAAGAAUGAAUUUCUAAAUCGAUUAACCAUUAAGGAUAUAGAUAUAUCUCUUAUUUACUUAUAAGUAUCAUCAUCUAACUAAUUUAAGUAGAUUGGAUAGUCGCGAAUCGAACGACUAUUGAUAAAAAAAAAUAAAGAAAUUCAACAGACAUACAUACAUAAUUAUUUUAUCUUUGUGAAAAGAUUGUGCUGAGGAUUAGAACAAUGCUUAAAUUGAUACAACACAUCACACAUCUUCCCUUCUUAUUCCCUUUUUCUAGCCCCACAAACACAUGUGGGAGUAGCAACUAAAGGAGCCAAAGAGCAUUGAUUGAACCCACUGUUUUUGCCAUCAAUUGAACCUUAUCAUCUUCUUCAUCCUCCUAACUUGUUCAAGUGGACUUCCAACCUCCAUCAAUGGGUUUGAAUGACUCAUGACUCAUGUAACUCGGUCGAACGAGUGGCCACCACUCUUUCGAGAUUUUUAUUCCCUCAACAAAAGAACAAGGAAGAGGAUUGAUUGCAAAUGAUUAAACAUGAUGCCAUGAGUCGGAAGAGUCUUCUUGGGAUGGUGAUAUGGUGAAAGGCGCCAUAUAUAGGAAGUGAGAUUACCAAAUACCAAGUCAUGGUUGGCAUUUGUCAUUGUCAUACAACGUGUUGUUUCUUGAUGCUCCAAACUUGGAUUAAUAGAUGAUUAAGACACGUCGAUGGAGGGAUGACAGAGAAAUAUUUGUGGUCAUUGUCAAUUGUAUCGUUUGUGUUGGAAAGAUGCAUGAAAUAAAAUAUAUUCUAUAUGGUUUAUAAUUGGAGACGAUGUCCCACAUAAGAUAAUUUAAUUUUAUUAGAUAUUGGCCAUCUUCAUCCAUACAAUUACAUUCUCUCUCCUCUCUCCUUUAGGUUAGGGAAAAGUAUUCUUACUUUACCACAAUAAAAAUGAAGUGCAAAAAGAGAUUGUAAAUAUCUUAGUAUUUUUUUUAAAUAGUAGGAAUGUAGUGUUAGUUUAAUAUAUAAAAUCGUAUGAUAUUUGCAAGCUAAACCAUAUGAUUUUUUUCUCGUGAAUUUAGAUAACAAGCGUCGUGAUAAUAUUUGAGAUUGUAUAAGUACAUUUGUGGAUUUAAUCAAGACCAAUUAUCUUCUCUCGCGAUGUCAUAUCUAUUUUUAGAAAAAAUAAAGAUUGAUGCCAUACAAAAUAAUGAACAAACUUUGAUUUGAUUAUCAAAUGAAUAUUAGCCGACACACCGUCGGUGUAUAUAAUCUAUUAUAAAAUCAGAUCGACACAAGAUAUGAGAUAUAAAUAUUUUUAUCUUCGAGAAAAAUUUUUCUUCGUUUAAUCGCGUGAUUCGCAUCGUUUGAAAAAAUAUCUUUCUCUCUUUUAAAUAUAAUAACACUCAGUAUGUUAGGUUGACGAUUAAAAGUUGAUCAUAUUAAAUUUCAUUUCAUGUCGAAAUAAAAUUCAUCUAAAGUAAAUUUGUCCUACUAACUUCAACUCAAAUAUAAAGUAUGAUAAUUAAGAACAAAACUAUAUUAGUAAAACUCAUCAAAGAUUCUAUCGGGCCAUUCAACAAAUAAUGGAUCUAAUGUCUUACCGAUUGUUAUUCGAAGUCAAUAGCUGCCAUGAAACAAAGCGUGGGAGCAAUUAUAAGGAUUUGUGUUGGCAACCAUGCAAGUGGUUGUUACCAACACAAACUUCAAUUAAUUUGAAGCAAUUAUAAAGAUUUGGUCAACGCUAGAGUUCGAUUCAAUCUAUAUAGAAUCCAUCUCGAGGUCAAUCAUAUACAUUCAUUAAUUGCAUUCAUUAUUUAUAAAUAAUAAUUAACUUAUGAAACCACCACAAAAGGCAAUUGGAACUAUUCGUCACAUAAUAAUUUACUAAUUAUUGAUUAUUAUAGUAAGAACCCUAUUUCAAAGGAUAUUUCAUAAUCAUCGAGAAUCUACUUUUGAUAUCGAUUAUAAUAAACGGUAUUGAGUUCUAUGUUUUAGUAUCAUUAAAUUGAUACAUAUAAAAGACAAUGACGAUGAUGAAAUGGAUGGACGAUAUUAUAUCAUCAUUUAUACGAAGGGUAAACUUAUGAUAAUUGAUAUUUUUAUGAAUAAUAUUAUUUAAUAAAUAAUAGGCAGAAAAUAUAUGAUUAGAAUACUAUUCCGUACGGUCAAAAGACGAUGUAAUACUUAAAUAUGGAGUGCAAAGAAAACAGACAAAAGAGAGAGAGGGGAAAAAAGCCCUAAAAAAGAAAAUGGUGGGGUUUAUUGUAAAUGAUUUGCUUUGUUAGGGUUGAAGAUUGAUCACACCGCGGCGUCCGAAUCUAAAAGCAAGGAGGAGGAGGAGGAGGAGGACAAGAGGUGAAGAUGAUGAGACCCGGUCAGCCACGGAUUCCUUUCUUGGUAUUCCCCUCUCUCUCUCUGUCUCGCUCUCGCUCGGUUGGGCGUCGUAACCGUAGAGGCAUUAAAGAAGUCGGUCAUUUUAAUGGGAUUAUUGCUCUCCUUCGGUUUGGAUCCGCGUGCGGCGGUGCAGGGGGCGGAAAAAGGGUCAGCCUUGAGGGUGGCAAUGUGAAGGGGGGUAGCGCGGAGGCCGCCCGCUAUGGAUCCGAAUUUCUCAGGUGCGCUUCUCGUCCUUUUCGUCACUGUUUGUGGCUUCUUCGUUGCGGUUUUGGCAAUUGAUGCCUGGGGAGAUCUCGAUCUGCUCGCUGAAGUGGAUUCCGAGGGGGAACGCAUGAUUCGGGUUCGGUGUGGUUCCUGGUUCGACAAAGUUGGAGCACCCAAGGGGCUCGGUGGUUUUCUUCGAUCUGUAGGAGUUUGGCGUGAUGAAGAUCGGGUUUUUGUAGGGUUUCCGCGGGUUUCUCCGAUUUCCUUCUCUCACCUCUUUGUGUAAUCCGCUCCUUCCUUGCAUUUGUGGGUGAUGUGCAGCGGAUGACCAAGUUUGGGGCAGUUGGCAUUCUUUUCCCCCAAAUUUUGGCUUAGCAUAUGCUGAGGAAGAUGAAUUUUCCUUUUGUCCCCCCCCCCACUCAUCUCGAGCUUCCUUUUUCACGCCUCGGAUUGAAAUGCUGAUUUCAUCAGCGAAUUGUGAUGGCUAGGAAUUCUCCUAUGUCUAAGAAAAGUAAAAGUCCACCGAAAUGGAACUCUUAAUUAUUUCGACCGGAAAAUGUGGUAUGAUCCAUAAGGAGUUCUUUUCUUGAUCACAUUUUGGCUUUCCUCAGCUUGAAGAAUUCUGGAAUUCUAUGGUCGAUGCUAAAGCUUAGAAGGUUGCUGGUAAAGCGUCGGUCCUGUGGGUUCAAGCUGCAUCCCCAUGUCGUUCUCAAUCACAAACUUAGGAUUUACUUGUUGAACUAUCAUUAUCUUCGAUUGCAAUGAGCUAAAAUUGCUUUCUUUUGCUUCAAAUAGUUUUCUGAUUUUACAGAGGUCAUUUUUUGCUCAGAGGUUUCUUGUUCAGUGUGAUACUCUGCCUCUUGUACUGUAGUUCUGGAACCUUUCUGUUUACCACAGGAAAAACCUGCACUCAAAUAGUUAGCCAGGAGAAUGCUAUAUGUUAGAAGUUACUAAAUGUUAGUACUUGGGACUCCAGCUUACCUGCUACAUCAGGUGUCCAAAGAACAGUAGUUUCUGAGUCGUUGGCUGGCACAUAGAUGAACCCUAAUGUCAUAUCAACUUACUCUUUGUGAGGGUGAGCCUUAGCACCAGUGCCUUACUGCAGGCCAUGUGUCACAGAUUUGAGUUGUGGAAAUAGCUCUAUGAAUGUAGGAGUAGGGGUGAGGUGUCAUAAGUUUGACCUUCUCCAGACCCACAUUAGAGGAAUCUUGUACAGUGAGGCAUCUUCUUCAAUCAUUGUAUGUUUUUUAACUUUUUUUUUUAGUAAUUAUGAUAUAGUUUGCUCUUCAGGGCUCGUACUUGACCCAUCUAAAUGUAGUAAGUUGAGCAUCGAGGAGAAGAGAGAGCUCGUCCGUGAAUUGUCGAAGUGGCCAGAGAGCGCUCCUGAGAAGCUGCAGACAUGGAGCCGACGUGACAUUUUAGAGAUCCUUUGUGCAGAGAUAGGGAAGGAGAGGAAAUACACUAGCUUAACAAAACAAAAGAUGAUAGAAUACCUUUUCAGAGUUGUUUCUGAUAAAAAAUCUGGAGAACAUACCAAAGACAGGGACUCUGCUCAGGACCUGUGUACACACAGCCCUCAAACCCCAGCUAAGAGACAGAGAAAGAAUGACCAUCCUUCACGUUUGCCCAUCACUACGGUCAAUCUGCAGUCGGGUGAUGUUGAAGAAGCUUCGGACAACAUUAGAUACUGCAAGAAUUCAGCCUGCCGGGCGACUCUUAACAUAGAAGAUGCGUUCUGUAAGCGGUGCUCAUGUUGUAUAUGUCACAAAUAUGAUGAUAAUAAAGACCCUAGUCUUUGGCUGUUUUGUGGCUCAGAGAACCUUUCUCAAGGUGACUCAUGUGGCCUGUCUUCUCAUCUUGAGUGUGUUCUUAAGCAUGAAAAAGGAGGUGUCAUGAAGAGUGGGCAGUGCACAAGAUUGGAUGGGGGCUAUUACUGCAUAUAUUGCGGAAAAGUUAAUGACUUGCUAGGGUAAUUUCUUCAACAUAAUGUUAAAUUGUUUUCAAUAAUCCCCUUAGUAUAUGUUCAUCCAUUUUUAUUUAACUGCUCAUUACAGCUUUCAGUCGUCAAACUUUUAGUCUAUAUCUGAUCCAUUUAUCUUUAGCACCUAAUCUACUUUAUCUUGUGCAAUAACCUAAUUAAUUGUCUUGUCUUACCAAUCCUGAAUUACUUCAGGCUAAAAGAAUUGUGAUGGUUCAACAUCAUUAAGUGUUUAGUCUGCUAGUGUUAGGAGCAGAUAAUUUUUUUGAUGAGUUUGAUGAGCUCAAUUUUGUUUUUUUUCUUUAAAUGUGAUAAGCAAUUAGACUUCAAUGACACAAUCUAAUAGCGAAAUUUCUCUGUCGGUGUUUGUUUAGUAGGCCAAAGAGUAGUCAUAUCUAUGUUUCUUAAGAUUCAUAACUCGGCUAAUGUUGAAUGCUUCAAUAAAGGAUAAACUGGCUCUUGAGAUUAACAUGAACAUAAUAUGAAUGGAACUAGCAGAUAUAGCAUUUAAAGUUAGAAUGCUUUAUUUGAAUGACUUGGAAGAAACAAGUGCUGAUGGAAAGUUGCAGUGGAGGACUUUAUUAUAGAAACCUAAGUGUUGAUUUAUGGCUUUUGGAAUGCUUGUGAUGGAAGCGGUUGAUUUCUCAUGGCCUUUAGAAUAAUGGGAAUGAUUGGGUGCGGAUAGAAACAACAGUAACAGAAUAAGAGAGGGAUUGUUACUGCAUUUUGCAACAAGAAAAGAAAAUUCUUCAUCAAGCAAAACGGUCAAUACCUGUAAUUCAGUAUCACUUUUUAUAGCCACUUCAUUUCAACUUAAAAGAAUAAUGAAACCCGUUUAUCCUUGUAUAUUACUUGUAUGGAUUCAAUAAUAUGCAACCUUCCUUAUUUAGUGAAAGUUUGUUUACAUGUUUGCUUUUAUCUUGUUUAGACAUAUGUUUCUUAUCGUUAAAGUAUGCAUAAUUUUUACACGGAAGCUAAGAAGUAAUCUAUAUCAGAAUAUGAGAGAAAUGCAAAACCAGUUCUUUUUUAUUUAAUUAAGAAUUCCAUGGAGAACAAUGAUAAAUUACGAGAAACUGACUGAGAAACUGCUGUUGUGAUAUAACGGCAGGUGCAGGGAGGCCGCGGUUAUGAUAUUACAGCAAGAGGUAGUAGGUGCUGGUAUGAGAAAACCUCAGUAGGUGAAAAAAAAAAAAUCCAGAUUCUAACUGAAUUUAAUCAUAUGCAAAUGUCAAACAGUGGUUAUUUGUCAAUACAUUGAAUUAAAAAUGAGAGAAUAAGUGGAGAACAGAGACCAUAGUUUUUUUCAUUUUUCCUACUGAACAAAACUCUAUCGACUCACAAACUUUAUGGCUACCAAUUUGACUUCAAUUAAAUUUCAAACUUAUGUAUCAUCAUAAAUAGGUAGUAAUGUAUAUAAAAACAUAUAGAACAUGUUGCCUGAAUGCGGCAUGACUUAACUUGACCUUUGUUAUACACAUCCUACAUCAGUUAAUCUUGUCAAUUGUAUUAAUUGUUGGUUGUUAUACCAAAUUUUAUAGCUCCAUACUACUAGCAAGACACUCCGCAUUGAGUUUGUUAGAUAGCUUAAAAUACCAUAAUAGGAGCUAAGACAACAUAUGAGGUCCAUGGUGCAUCGUUCUUGCAUCAUUCUUUGUGUGCUAGGAGAUAAGAGCUUUAGAAGUGAGCAUAAGAUGGCUUGUCUUUGUAUUUCUAUUCAUAAGCACAGAGGGUUUGGAAGUGUGGAUCAUGAAUGUAGAGACUUGACCUCUUUGCUUGUGGGAGGGCUUAGAACAGUAGAGUAACAUCAAGGUAUAAUUGUUGAUUGGAAAGAUAAUUUGGUGAAGAAAAGACAUGAAAGAUAUGGAUGUAUAUUCUCAUCAGGUGGAGAAAGACAUGAUUGCCAUUAUGGCAAAAUGGACAGGAAAAUGAUGGCAAAAAAUGAUUAUGAAAAAGGGUUCUGGAAGACCAUGAGCUGAUGUGUUUCUUUUAAUAGAAUCUCUUUUCUCCAAUUUCAGUUAGCUGGUACAGUGUUAACCAUUGCACUUAGAAAGAUAAGACAGAUGGUAAUUGGUAAUUUAAAUGGUUCCAUUAUCUCCAUUUCUUUUUGGAUCCUGAGUAGAUUUUUUAUGAAAGUUUAUGUAACUGCUAAAUGUCUCUUUCAUAAGGAAAAUUAUGCAAACUUAAUGUUACUCUGAGAACAGCCAGGGGACCGAUAUGUUCUCUCUCCUGAAAUUACUUGAACAGGGCAAUUUGUCCUUGAGUCCAACCUGCCUGACUUUUUUCCUGCAAGGACAGAAACAGGUAUGCAUUUGUCAUGAAAUUCAUGGAUGACUAUAACAUCUAUUUUAGUGAAUUUUCUGUACCCCUCAAAUGCUUAUUCUUGUCCAUAUUAUUGUACAUAUCAAUUAUUUGGUCCUGAGAGAUUCUCAUUGAUCCUUCCUACUGGAUUUCCCUUUAGGUUUUAGGUUGGCUUGUUAAGUUCUAGGUGUGACACAUUAGAUUUUGGCAUGAACAGUUAUUUUGAAGUAAAUCAGUUCUAGAUUGUCUAGAUCUGUUCUCACUUCACAACUGAAACAUAUUGUGGAAGAGAAAUUCCUUUGGUGGUCACACAUCAAACCGCAGUUGCUCCCACAAGUGAUUCACUUAUAACAUUUUUUUACUUUUUGUUUCUGCAGGUGUUGGAAAAAGCAGCUCAUGAUUGCAAAGGAUGCACGACGAGUCGAUGUAUUGUGUUAUCGGAUUUCUCUUAGUCAUAAACUUCUCAACUUAACAGAGAGGUAUGGAAGUUUGCAUGAAAUAGUUGAGACAGCACAGAAGAAACUGGAGGCUGAGGUUGGGUCUAUCGAUGAUUUACCAAACAUGGCACGAGGAAUCGUCAACCGACUUUCUGUUGGUGCUGAAGUCCAGAAACUGUGUGCCUGUGCAGUAGAUUUACUAGAUACAAUGCGCUUAGGUGGUUUAUCAGCCACUGCUCAAGUUCAGCGUAAGCUCGUCUAAGCUCCAAGUUUCUUAAAAUUUCUGGUACCUUUUUGAUGCAUUCAUCAUUCCUUCAUGAAUUUUUGUCACCUGCAGAAACUGGUUCAGUAUCCUCCAGCUUUAUCAAAUUUGAACAGAUAUCGCAAACAUCUCUUACUGCGGUUUUGGAUUUGGAGAAUAAUUCGUCAUUAGGUCAAGAGGUAGCUGGCUUUACCGUGUGGCACCGAAAGGUUGACACCCCAGAAUACCCCAAGAAAGCCUCAUUUUCUCUAUUAAAUCCAAAGAGAAGGUUUCUAGUAACAGAACUAGCUCCAGCUACAGAAUAUAUGUUCAAGGUAGUUGCCUUCGGCGAUACAGGGGACCUUGAUACAUGUGAAGUUGGAACAAAAACCAAAGGCAUCUCACUGGACAACUCUAUGGGCUUGGCACCGCAGACAGCUGUAUUAGAACCACAUUGUCAAAGCCCUAAAACAAACAGUAGUGGCUUGUCUAAUCCCUCAGAGGGUGACGAAUCUAAUACUAACAGUACCGCUUGUGCUGACUUGAACAAGUUGCCAGAAAUAGAAUUUGAUGAAUGUGAGAAGCCUGAGAUCCUUGAGACAGAAAAAUCAACGGAUCAUGCCCAGAAAGAUGCUGGCCACCAAAAGAGUGAAUGCAAGGGCAGUACAAGCAGAGCAGAAGUUCCUGAACGAGAUGAAUCACCUGGGCGCUCUGAUUCUGUAUUAGAUGAGGAACCAAACUCAACGAUUCGGACAGAUUCCACUAACUCUAUGGAGAAUAACCAAACAUCUGACAUCCCAAGAUCAGAGAAUGAAUCUAACGCUCCUGUUGUCAACGAGAUGGUGAUUGUACCAUUUGUGCAAUCCAACUCCACCCUUCCUGCCACUCCUUGCAGGGUGGAAGCUGGAACAGAAGGUUCUGAGAGGUGCAGCAAAGGAAAACCUAGUGUCAAAAAAUUUGAAGAUGGCUUGAUGAAGCCAGGCAUGGAACCUGGGAGUUCAUCAAAGAAAAGAUGUGGGGGGAAUCUUGAGGGUGUAAAUGUCAAAGAUGGAUCACUGGAAGGAGCAUACGAGUAUUGCGUGAAGGUGAUCAGAUGGCUGGAAUGUGAGAGGCACAUCGAAACCAACUUCAGGGUGAAGUUCUUGACAUGGUUCAGCUUACGAGCAACCCCACAGGAGAGAAGGAUCGUUAAUGUGUAUGUCGAUACUCUAAUAGAUGAUCCUGUGAGCCUUGCGGGGCAGUUGGUGGAUACCUUCUCAGAAACCGUCUGCAGCAAGAGACCACCCCGAGUGCCGACUGGCUUCUGUGCUAAGCUCUGGCAUUGAGACUCGGGGAGCCAUUCUUCUCGGUAUUCUACGAGACAAUUAUUUACAUGCAGAUUCGUGGCAUUAAUUCUUCAUCAAUUAUGUGUUCAUGGAUCAGCAAAUUUCAGGUCAAUUCCUAUUGUUGCUCAUUGACAAUCACACUUUUAUAUGUAGUUGAAAACUAGUUUUCAUUAACAGAACUACUUAGUUCUUAAUGCUCUUUUAGUCUCGUGGCACUCCUCUUCAUCUUUACACUAGUUUAAAGGUUCCCUAUGCUGAUACAAGCACUUUUUUCAAGUGAAAAGAUUAUUAUGUUGUACUUUACAAUUUCUCUGGGUAAGUUCUAUUUUUUUAGUAAUAAAUAGACAAAGGGUAUCGUUUUUUGGGAUGAUUACUUUGAUUGAGAUCUCUUGGGUGUAUCUUUUUUGCAUGGUUAAGCAUAACUGGGAAGCCUCCUUGAUUCCUAUUUCUUUUUUGUUUUGGAUUUGAUCUUCUCGUUUAACUUUGUUUUCCUGCAUACCUCAGCUGGAUCUUCAUUGAGCUGCCUUAAAAGUUUUCACUUGAAUCGAGUAUUGUGUUCUUAUAUUUGAAUUGCCAUAUACUAACAACAUUAAUUGAAAUCUUUACGUACGCGAUUUAGAUUAUUAGUUUGGUUACACUGAUUGACAUAACAAUCUUAAGGUGAUUUGACUGUUGUGCAAAUCAUCCCGCUAACAAUGCAGAUGUAGUCCAUCCCAUUGCCCCCUCGGUCUAUGGUCGCUACACCACCAUCAACAGCCGGAUGAAUCCGCGCCCUCUAACGACAUGCCUUGAGCCUACCAGGUGCUCGUCCGAAUGCCCCGACGUGAUCCGUCGAUUGGGCCCUCACACGCCGCCCGACCUCACAACAGCGGCGAUCGGGGGCGUACGCGGGUGCCUCUCUGCUCUCUCAGCCUCAUGGCCAGUUUGGGUUCGAUCUCGAUGCGCUCGUCAAAGGAUAGAGCUUUGCUUCCGAGAUGUUUGAUAAGAGUUCUGAAAGAAAAAUGCUCUCUCAGCCCCAUGGCCAGUUUGGGUUCGAUCUCGAUGCGCUCGUCAAAGGAUAGAGCUUUGCUUCCGAGAUGUUUGAUAAGAGUUCUGAACGAAAAAGGCUAGGCGGCAAUCGUAUGCCGGAAGAAGAACGAUGAUGUUUGUUGAACGAGCACCGUGCUCGAUUGUUGUGACAUCUAAAUCAUCGUCGUCCAUAGCAAAAAGACGAAUUGGAAGACGGAAACCAUCAAAGAAAAAAGAACACUAUCGGCAUCAAAAGAAGCAUACGAAUCAGAAGUAUGGGCCACAACUUGUUCAGGAAGCGCACCUGAUCCUGAGAUCGCAGUAAAUCCAGGUGGAAAGCUCUUCCGGCAGGAGCGAACGUGGUGGUGCUCGCUCGAUCGAUGGAGGCGAGGAAGGGAGAUGAGCAGGCAUGGGCCAAUCGCAGCGGUAUCGGCCACGAUCAAAGCGUGGAUCUAACAGGUGGUGAUGGGUCAAGCAAGGUGCAGUCAUCCUGCCAUCUUUGAACAAAUUAUUAGCAUAGGAGUAUGCAGGGCUCUUAAAAAGGACCAAAGAGAAGAGUGAGUGGUACAGUUUUCAAAGGCCUAUAGGAACAAGCAUUACCCCCACAAAAACGACGUGUUAAGCUGACCCGCUACAGAAAGUUACCCCAGUGACAGAGUUCUCGGAGUCCUCCAACUCGGUUCUCAUGUGAGUGAACAGAGAGGUGGAUGUCAUGCAUACACCCUCCAAAGGUCUGACAGAUGAACAAAAACUUCGAUGUUAAUCUGUAUUCUGAGUGGUAUUGAGAAACAUUAACAUUUCCUAAGAACUGCGCAGGCUUCUUUUGUAACAUUUUGCUACUUCGUACGUUCCAUGUGUUCCUAUCAAAAUAUAAGACUGGUUUUUUUCACACAAGCCCUAAUCAAAUGACCAUUGCAUCUGAUGAAACGCAUCUCCCAAGUUCAACUUGGUGUGUCUAAAAGCCAUGAAGCAUGAGUCAGUUGGGUAUUGACGAGCUGUGAUAUCUAUACAUGGGUCAGUUUGAAAAUUAUGUGCAGCAUAUCAGAUAUACCAUUUCAUAUUAACCAUUAGGUUAACAAAAAAAAAUUCCAGGAACAUGCCUUGAAAUAGGCAAGAACAUUAACAAAGACCUAUCUUCAGCUGAAGAAAUCCCAGAUGUUUCCACUGCACCUGUUGAUUAAUAUGAAAAAGACAUUGAGUGGGUAUCAGCUCCUUACCACUAGGGCCAGGGUUUCUGCACAACACAUACUGGAAAGACAAAGUAGAACGUUAGCAUUUGAAAUUAAGGGCAAAGCCAUAUCCAACAAUUUCUUGGGGCUCACCAAGAUAUUUGUAGCAACUGGCAUCAUAACCAAUAGUUUCAAUAAAGUUGAGAGCGUAUCAGCAGUCCUGGGAGGCCGGCAGUGCACAGAAGAAAUGAAGCAGUACUCUUAAUCUAGUAUCUGAUUAAUGUUUCAACAAGCAAUGUCUAAGGCGAGCGGUAAAUGUUAUACAUGAUGGGUAGAAGAGAAUCUCAUACUAUGAUGACUAACCACAGCCCUGGACUGGAUUCGGGAAGUGAAGACUUGCAGCUUAUCACAACUUGCUUGGUUUCAGAACCCUGAGAUAAUAGAAAUCUAAGAUCAAUAAAAUUAUGAACAAUUUCCCUUUGGGUAGCAAGGAAAACAUGUUAAAAGCAAGGUGCAAAAAGUUUGAGUUGAGCUUUGAGCAUUUGAUUAAUGAAGCAAAACUAAGUACUUUGAUGAUAAAGUUCCCCUAGUUACAUCCUUUUAUUCAUUAAUAGAACACUGCGAACAAUGGUAAAAGAAGGGUAAGAAACAAGUAGCUGUACUGAAAAGUGAUUAACAUGCUUAUGUGGAGGACAGAAUGAGAGUACAAUAAAAAAUUUCAUUUCAUUGUAGUGGAAAUGAUAUCUCAGGCAAACCUUGCAUUUCCACUAUGCCUGAACAAGCUCACAUAGCAAUCAAGGACAUAAAUGAUGAAAUGAACACAGUGGAAGCAACACUCAUACACUUUUGUCAUAUGUCAUAAAUUGCAUGUAAUACUAAUUUAUAUCACCUAAUAUUUUUUUUUACUACAGAAGUGUACACUCAUACACUUUUGACCUUCCCAAAACCUUGGCAGCAAGCUUGGUGCAUUGGACCCUCAUUCUUAUUUUCUUACUACCUGGUCUGAACUCUUAUUCUAAGUUAUAUUUCUUAUUUUUUUGUUUUAAUGUUGAUAAUCGAAGCAAAACCUGUCUCAAAACUACUGAUACAGGAAAAAAUAUUGAUGACUAUCUAACCAUGAAAGACAUGUAAAACUACACUCUGGCCAUAGCCUAAAUCAGAACUAAAAUUUCAAAUUCAAAUCUAAAUUAGUCUAUAAAAUACUACUGGAGAUUCUUAUUGGUAAUGGUGGCUUUUUUUUUUUGUUGGUCAAAUGCAUAAUCUCACAAUCAUAUAUGUUCCUUCGAUGAGAUGAAAAAAUAUUUGGCCAUUUACCAACCACCAACUAAAGAUCAGUAGUUUUAAGCAACAUUUUUCUGCUAAAACUAUUCUCAGAUUUUGCGUGGAAUGACAAGUUAACUAAGCACAAACUUCUAUCCUUAAAAAACUGUCACUUAACAUCAACUAGGACUUCUAUUGACCUUAAGAUAUACUUCAUGUCAAGAUUCAUUUUCUAAAAAUGACCCGCCAACGGAAAAUUUUGAAGAAUUCUACUGGGCUAUUAAAUCCAACAAAUGGCAAAAUUUCUGCCCUGUAUCAUAUUGCCAUGUUGUUGAGGAGAGAAAGAAAGAUAAAGCUUAUACAAGUUCAAAAGACAAGCCAAAAAAAGAAAAUCAAUACUUUUCAUUAUAAGCAUAACACAUCACAACUCCUUUGUAAAAGUGACGAAAGAACACAGACGCUAGUUUAAUGAUUCAGUGAAGGUAGGCCAAGCUUAAAGGUUGUGACAGAAGGAACAGCAGAUGCCUUAUAUUAAUCCAAAGAUAAGGCACAAGGGGAGAACAUAAAUGUACCAGCAUUUAUGUGUACUGGUGAACAUAAAGUUGUAGGCUCGAAGAGUACUGAUCAUUGUGUACUGGUGAACUACUCUUUUCCAUUUGCACCUGUUACUAUAUAAGAUGGUGCAAUUGAACACCCCAUGCCUCACAUAACAUUUUAGUUUUGCAAUUAAUCUUCCCUAUAUGGUAGAUGUUCCAUUUCCAUGACAGUCUGCAUCACAUGGAAACCAAAUUCCUCUCUCAUGGAUGUUUGAAGCAGACAAUAAUUUACAUAUGGUGUUGUCCAAAGCAUUACUAAGAUACUUUCUCACUAGAACAUUCUCAAAUUUGCUUGUAAUAUGUUGUGAACUCAAUCAAUUUAAUUAUUCUAUAUCGCUAAGGAACUCAAAAGCGAGUGCUGAUCCCUGAGUUGGAGUUACUAACUUCCAUUUCCUAUUGUCAGAAUCUUGUCUAGAAAUAUUGGGAAGUAUCUAACUGGGUUUCAAUGUACGUGUCACACAAUACCAGCGAUAUUGCCAAUCACAUGCUAUGUGAUUAAUAUGCAUAAACCCAAUUGGCAUUCGCAAUGCGCAAUAGUGGAUGGAACAAGACAAUCCAACCAAGUGUGAAGUUUUCUAAACUGUAUAGUGGUGGCAUUUCUUGAACAAGUGAAACUUGAAUGUAAAAGCACAUCAAGCCUUAUUUCUAAUCCAAAUCCAACUUGGAGAAUACCUUUCAUGUCUUGAGUCAAUUCACAUAAUUGCUUUUUAAGAAAGAAAAAGUUAUACAAUUUCAAUGGUUCUACGGCAAAAACUAGUUACAUAGCAAGAAAAAAAAUGAUUCAAUGUAAUAAAAACAAAGCUAAAAGUUCCAUGUAAAAGCUAGGGCAUGAACGAAAAACCCUAACCUUUCAGGCUGUAAUCAAGAUUCUAGCGGUUCCGCUCCGGAGGCAAAGGCCGAUUAAACCCUCCCCUCCUAUUCAUGUACUGCCGAGGCUGCCGCUUCGUAACCACCCUCACCCCGCUCAUGUCAUUUCCCUCCACCGGCUUCCCUUUGGUGGAAUCGAACCCUAUCGGAAUCCCCAGCAUCUUCAUCAUCUCCAGCUCGUCCGGGUCCGCGUCCGUGGGCGCCGGCACCUCCCCGCCCCUAGGAGCGUCACCGGCCUGCUUCUUCUGCUCCUUGGCGCCGCUAUCCGCGAUCUCCGAGGCGGAGGAGCGGCGGCGGUCGCGAUCGUCGUCGCUGCCUUCCCGGCGUCGCUUGCGGCGGACGGAGUCAGGGGAGGGGGAGCGCCGGUGGUGGCCGUGGCGGCGGCGGUGCCGCUCAGCCGACAGGGAACGGGACCUCGACGGGGACCUGGAACGCGAUCGCUUCCGGUAGUCUCGAUCUCUGUUCCGAUCCCUGUCUCUCUCUCGAUCUCGAUCUCGAUCUCGGUCUCGGUCGCGACCGCGGUCCCGAUCCCUCUCGCGGUCUCGCUCUCUCUCGCGGUCUCGAAGCUUCUCCUUUUCUCUCCGCCUCUCCGACAUCCUUCUCACGCGAGCCCGAAGCUUCUUGAGCUGUGGAGAGGCAUAAAAACUGCUUCAUUCAUCGCAUCGACGGUGCGCCAAAACCUAAAACCACCGGCCCGAAAGAACCGGAAACGGGUCGGAUGCGGGUCUGAUACGAGAAAAACCAUAUCCGCAUCAAUCAUAAUAAUCAUAAACAAAAAAGUCAAUCAACUAAUUCUAAGGAAUAUUUUCAAAGUAAUUUUUAAAAAAAAUAUAAUAUUAUAUAUAUAUAUAUAUAUAUAUAUAUAUAUAUAUAUAUAUAUAUAUAUAUAUAUAUAUAAACUCAGUUCUUUCAUAUAGAUUUGCAAAUGAUCAGAAACCCAACAUAAAGACUCUUAGAUCCAACCAAUCCCUUCACUCUUUCUUAGCAUACUAUAAAAGAGAUACUUUUAAUUCAUGCACAACACAUUCAAUCCCUUCUUCAAUAUUUUGAAGCCAUCAAAAAAUUCAAUUCUUGAAUCACCAUCUAUCAAAUUAUUACAAUCAUUAUAACUUAAAAUUCAUCCCCAUCAUGCUUUGCUUUUCUUAUAGAAGAAUGUCAUCAGUAAAAUACUUGUAAAAAAGCUGAAUCUUCAUGUUGAAAAUCAACAAUAAGUUCAUUUUGUCGCCAGUGCAACCAUGAUUGAUAGCCCAAGUAACUUGUUAUUCAUCUUAAAUGAACGGAGAUCAAUUACUCUUUGAGUCAGCCAUUCAUUUCGAAGUAAUAAUUAAGAGCUAUCUUGAAAAAAAAAAAAACAUAGAAAAAGCUAUUAUUGUCAUACAAGGAGGAAACAACAACCAUUUUGAUUGCUUUUGGACAGAUGAUUUCAUAAAAUGUUCAAAGACAACUGAUUUCAAGAAGUAAUCCGAGAAUGCUAACAUAGGAAAAACAUUUGAAAGGAAAUCAUUGAUCACAGAUUCCUGCCUCGUCGAUUGAACUAACUGCGAUCAGCCGCAUGAUGACACAAGAGCUGACAUAGGAUCAUUUGGUCUGUAAUACGUCGAGACCGCUUUAGAUCAUUGAUAUACAAAGCAUAAACAGCAUUUCAUCAGACAUGUUUUUAACUUCAGGACCCACAUGCCAAUGCUGAAGUCUACUGCAUGACAAGAACAUGAUAGCAGAGUCAGAAAUAAGCAUAUGGACAUAAGAAACGGAGAUGAUGUUUUACCUCUUUAAAAACUUUUUAGACAGCUUGUACUUUGCUGGAAAGCUCUUUUGGUUUACUAAGUUUACCACUUUCCUUUUCCUGCAAUGAAAAAUAUUUAGAAAUUCAAUUCACAUUCUCAAGCCAUCAAGCAGUACAGAUUCCUAUAAAACUUGUUUUUAUUCCAAGAAUUAGGCAAAUUUAAUAGAAGACCAAUGCAUGGAUUAAACAAGAGAAGUCUUACAAGUACAAUAAAACCCAAAAUAAACAGUUGAGAAUCAGACAUUAGCACCCACUUAUCCUCAAAGACCAUGAAAACUUGGUAAAAGGAAAAGUUGAACAUCAUUUGCUGCCAGAGCACUCUCAUCUAGAGACCUCAAAAUUCUCAUGCUUAUCAGGCUGCACAGUAUUAGGAGCCGGGAAACAUGUCCGAAUUGCAAACACAAAGCACGAGAAAUCAUGAAAAGCCAAUAUGAGGAGAUAACUAUCUAGAUCAGUUUAUAGUUGAUGGAGCAGAAUGAAUUAUGCAAAUGCAGACACCUUGGUUGAUUCAGAGACCAGAUAAUAGAUCUAGAUGGGAAAUCAAGAACUUAGGCUAAAAGAACGUCAUAUGGGGCUUAGACUCACUGGGUUUAGCAUAUGGAAACAUGCUACAUUUGUCAUAUAAAAGCAUGAAAUUCCAACAUUUCCAUAUUACUUUUAAAUGACAUUUCAAGCAUCAAAAUAGACAAUUAAUAAUUUUUUGAGAUGUUCUUGAAAACCUUUGCUAAAGCAUUCAAAUUCAAUUAAAAGUUUCUUCCUCCAAUACAGACUAUUAUGCCAUGCUAAAUACCUUAUGUAAAUCGUACAAUUUUACAUAAAUGACAAGAAAAAUCAAACUCCCCUAGUUAAACUAAUAAUAAACAAAUCACACAGACAUGUCCUUGCAUUUGUCCAACUUUCACACUUAUAAAUUCAUAAGUCAAGAUGUUUAUACACUCUGAUCCUGCUUCAUAUAUCUUGACAUAUCUCCAGGCAAAACACAUCAACAAUACAAAGAGGACACACAGUGUCGCACGUAUAUAUUCGCGUAUAUAUUUAAUUGCAUAAGAUGUUUUCUCAUCAGCAUAGAUCAGCUCAUUAGCCACCAGGAAUUAAUAAACCCCCUUCCUCGGCAGCCACAGCCCUCCGAAAAUUAACCCGAUUGUUGUUCUUCUUCCAAGCAAUCGACCUUCUUUUUUAGUAUCAAAAUUUAACUAUUUGAUUCAGGUCAUUCUCAAUCCUAUGAUAUCUUUUUUACACAGUGUCAUGAUAAAUCAAAAGAUAGCUGUAAGUGGUUGAAGGUACCUCAAAUGCUCAUAGUCAAGACAUUUGAACACAUGGUCCGGUAGAGAAAACUGAGAAAAUACAUCUCUUUGUAAAAAUUCGAAAGUGAAGAUAGAUCAAGCAAAGUGCUCUAGGAAACAAUUCCAAGUGAAAAAACAAAGUCACUCAAAAAAAUAGCAAAUCAUAAAGAGUCCCGAAGAUUCAGUAGUUCAACCACAUAUUCCAAGUCCAGAGUGACCCUCAAGCUAUCACCAAUGCUAAAAGAUCAAGCAAAUUCCAGGUGAUAUAAUCGAAAUCAUUGAAUAGCAUAACUUAUCAUAAAUCAGCAUAUCGAAGAAAGAAAAAAGCAAUGACGAAAACUCGGUAGUUCAAUUCCAUAUUCCAAAUCCAGAGUAACCUUCAAGCCAUCGCCGACCAAAAGAACAUUACGAAACUUCACGACCAAAGCGAAAAGAACAGUAACCUUUUCACUGCUCUCGUAGUAAUCAUUCAACGCCCACUGGUACCUGGACUGGUUCAAUCCAAACCAAUCCGCCAAGUACUCGUCCAAGCUCGAAUGCGCUGUUAGCCAAAACCAAAAAUAUGAGAAAAGAAAAGAUCCCACAGUACCCCCAAAUUUCAAGAAUUUGAAUAAGAUACCAUUUUGGACUUUGACGAUGGCGUCCCAGAAGAAGCCGAAUACGGAUCCAGAAGACUUGGCGGCAGGCUUCUCGAACUGCCGGGGUGGUACCUGAACCGGCGGCGGCGGCGGCGGAGGAGGAGAAGCCUUCGCCGGCAAAGGAGCCUCCUUUUCAGGGGUGCUGGCACUAAGGCUCGGCGUAGGGCUCGCAAUGGGGGAUCUUGGGCCCUCGGAUGGCGUCGGGUUCGGAGGCGGGGUGAUGAAGACGGUGUAGCUCCCGGCCUUCCCAAUCACCGGCGGCGGUGUCCUCUCUGCGGCCAUGACUGCGGACGAAGACCAGCAAGUAGAGAUCGAAGGCACGGGCGAAGCGAAGGUUUACAGUUUGGGCUCAGUAGAGUGGGGAGGAGAGGGUGUGAGAAGUGGCUCGUGUGAAAGCUAGGCUGCGAGAUUCGCCAUUAGAGAAGGAAGAAAGUGGUGGGAGCUUUUUGCCGACGCUGAGUCUCUCUCUCCCUCUCUAAAAGCGCAAGCGGAAGAAUUCGUGCCUUUUUAUCCAUCAUUAUUAUUUGUUCUCGUAAUCCAUCGGUCUUUCAUUUUGGCUAAAUAACGAAAAUGCCACUGAGUGCGGUGCUGUGUGGUAAAUUCGGGGUUUCACACCGAGGGAUAUUGAUUCGGAUCGCCUGCCACAUUCCAGCCAUGGGACACCUUCCCUCAUCGCUAAGGUUCCUCGCAUCACCCCGGGAUCGUGGAGCCCACCGCUCUUUGGCGACGGAACAACUCGUGCACCCUGGCUGAACGAGGCAGGAAGAUGAAGAUCCGACCUGGCGUUUAGGAGAAUGCAUUGGGAUACAGCUACGGAGUAACUCACGAAUAGGACACGAAGGAGGCGUUGUGCCUUGUCGAUAACAUGAACUUGAGACAAGAAGGUGCACAGAUCAUAUAUAUAUAUAACAUGACAUGGACGUGCAAAGAGACAGAGUUCAACCACGAGGCCCUGUUCCCCAAGAAUCACUGAUCUAAAGCACGAUUUUUUAUGCAUUGGCUCUCUCUCUGAGGCACGGCACGCAUGCUAUCCCCUUUCACUUGGAUAAAACUAGUGUGGGUAGAUCUGACGAGCGAUGACUACUGUUUGCAGACAGCAAGAGGCCGCCUCGGUUUGUAUUGGGUCCACCGGAGGAGCGGUGGUGGUGGGCGGCACACAACCCGACGACGACUAAGACGGAGGGGGCGCCCACAGCCACGUGACGAAGCCAUAGUCACGUGUCAAGCGCUAACAGAGGGACUAAUUAUAUAUUAUCUCCGUCCUAUUAAUAUUAUAUUUUUUAUAUUUUAAAAAAAUAUUAAAAUUUUAUAAUAUUAAAAUAAAAUAAAUAAUUUUAGUAUUGACAAAAAAAAAAUGAUACCACAUAUUGAAUCAACAUAAAAUAAUAAGUAAAAAAUAUAAUUUUAAUAUUUUUUAUUUAUUAUUUUUUUAUCGAUUAAAUCGUUAGAAAUGGAAUGAAUAUUAAAAUUAUCUUUUUGUCUGUCAUUUUCAUAUUGGUCUAACACGUUGCGUUACGUAUUAUAUUUUUUAAUAUUAUAAUAAAUAUAAUUAUUUAUUUUAUUUUUAAAAGUAUAGAGAUCCUAAUGUAAAUUUUUUAUUUAUAGAGAUUGCGAUGCUAAAUCUAAAUAUAAAAAGUAAUAUAUAAUUAGCUCCUUAUGUAACAACUAUAUUCACUUGUAGAUUUUAAAAUUUAUUUAAUAUAAUCUUAAACCAAAAUUCCUAUAACAACUCAGUUCAUAAGCAUUUACUACCAUCCAUAUCAUCUGGAAUAUUAAUAUUUUUAUCUUUUAUCUUAAUAUUUAUAUUGAUAAGACUAACGAUGUUAUGAUAAAUAUAUUUAAAAUAUUUUAUUUUUAUAAUUAUAUGGAUGUCAAUAUAAUUUCUUAACAUGUUAUGAUCGUAAAACUAAAGAUAACUCACUACAGGGAAAUAUAUAAUUAGCAUAACUUAAGGCAACUCUAUUCACUUCCUAAUUUUAAUUUUUAUUUAAUAUAAUUUUAAAUAAAAAAUCCUGUAACACUCAGUUCACAUCCCAAUACAACUUGUACUGCUCUAAGAGGCAGUUAAUGAAGAGGAAAGAAAGGUAAGAAAAAUAUGAUCAGCUAUGUGUAAUGCUCACUAUAUAAAAUCACAUGUCUUAUAUAGAAUCCUAAUUUUUCAGAUUGUUAAAUUUAUAAUAAUUUAAUAAAAUUAUUUUUGUUUAUCUUUCAUCCUUGCCUAGUAAUAUAAAACCAUAUGAAUGGUAGAAUCAAAGAAAAAAAAAGCAUUCUUAUAUACUUAAUAAACUAGUUACGAUAUAUUAAAGUUAAAAAAAAUCUUUAAAGUCAAUCGAUUCGAUCGAGCUAGCCAAGUCUCAUACCCAAUUAGGUCGACUCGGGCAAGUUGAGCUCAUGUCUCUCUUAAAUAAAAAAAUAAAAAGGUUUUUUUUUAGCUCCUUUUGAUGAAUCUAUUUAUAUAACAUUAAAUAUUCUAUUAAAAAAAUAAAAAAAAUAUUGAAAGCAACCAACAUUAUCAAAUUAACACAUAAUUUAUAAAAAAUAUGCAUUAUUGAUCUUAGUUGAUUAGAACAUUUUUCUUUGGAUAUAACUCAUCUGUCUAAUAUAAAAAAACAUUUAUGAAACUCAACACAACUGAAACAUCCUUUAUUUUACAAGACAUCAAAUUAGGACCCCAAAAUAAAAAAUAAUCUCACGUGUCCAACAUGAGUAUAAUAUUUUUUGUGCACAUUAACCUAAGACAAAAACACAUCUAAAACAUCUUAGACAACCAUAUUAUAUGCAUAACAUGAUUAAUAUAUAUAUAUAUAUAUAUAUAUAUAUAUAUAUAUAUAUCUUUUAUACAUCCAUUUAAAAUAAAAAAUAAUUAAAACAUCGUUGUAUAAUUAUUUAAAGUGCAAGUAACAAUAAUCCAGAUCUCGAAAUGAAACGAAAUAAUAUACAUGAUACAAAUAAUCAAAUCAAUUUUAUCAUCUCAUGUUAGCUAUAAGAUUUCAUAAAAAAUAAUAUAAUUAUUCAAAUUUAUAUCUAUCAUCUCUUGAAUCAAAUAAUAUAAUUCAUAAACUCCUUGAAACAUCGAAGUGGAAACAAAUAUAGAGUGAUCCUUUUUGAAAGUAUUAUGGUGAGAAACAAAGCUCGAUACCAAAAAAAAAAUCAUUUUUUUGUCAUAGUUUAUUUUUUCAAAAAAUAUUUGCUUAAAAAUUAAUUAAAGAUCACAUGAAAUGUUAAAUUGCGACUUCUCUUAACGGCGGGGAGUAAUGCGUAGCUUAAGUCGUGACGUCAGCGGUUGUGGAGGCGCCGUCAUGGUCGACGUCUUAAAAGACCGCCGGUCCGUGUCUUGCUGCACGCGACCCGCGCCGACUUCCAACGCAGCCCUCGAUCCUUUCUUGGCUAUCUGCCCGGCGACGAAAUCUCUGUUGGUAGUCAAACCACGGCUUCUCCUCCUUCCCUCUCCACAGCAACCCCCCCUUCUCUACGUCAAUCGAGGAGCCCGACUCUUUCCUCUCCACUCGCCGUUCUUCCCCUUGCCCUCAUUCCGCAAUGGCCUCUCUCUUUAGAGCUGGUCGCCAGGCGGAGGAGCGGGGGUCUGGCGGGAAGAUCCUCCGCGUCCGUCGACGAUCACCCCCGCGGUCCGCCCCCUACGCGCGCCCUCCCCCUCCUCCUCCCCCCGCUUCCACGGGCAGCCCGAGGUGGCUCCUCGGCCUCAUCUCUGGCGCUGGCAAGUUCAUCUCCUCCGUGUUUCGCUCCGAUGGCAGCUCACCCUCCUCCUCCUCUUCUUCAGAUCACUCCUCGUAUGAAGACUGCAGUCCACGAUUCAGUGAGUCGUUUCAUUUUCUCUGUUAGGGUUGCAUUGUUCUCGAUUAGUUGUGGGGUGUUGAACUUCUUGGUGCUUGCAGUUAGUUUUCUUUUUUGUGUUCUCUUUGUAUCGGUGAACUGAAUUUUAGGGUUCUUGUAUUGGGUUUCUCUUUUUUGACGAAUUAAGGUUAAAUUGUACACUUAUUGGAAGUUUGUAGCAUGGUAUGUGCUGUGGGAUAUCUAUGUGAUAGAAUAUAUUAAACCAUGUUGUAGUCCUGUUCUAGUGCAACCAUACAUUUCUAUGCAAUCAUACUUUGCUUAAAAACGACUCCUAUUUUCGUUGGCAUUGAAAUCGGUCUGGGUUUACUGGAACAGUGACAGGAAAUUGUCUCAAGAAGAGAGUUUUUGUUUUAGAAUUUGUCAUUAAUGAAUAAGCUGAGAUAGUUGUGGUUACAUUAUGUUCGUUUGGAAACUCUUUGUUUGUGAAGCACACUACUUUCUUCUAUAUUAUUCACUUAGAAACUAUCUCCUUUAACUAUUUCUUUUUCCAUGCAGUAGAUGUACUACUCACGCUUACAUGCCUCCCGUUUUCGUUUUAUGUGAACUUAUCUUUCCUCCAUUGGUAGUAGAUUAAAAGUUAUUAUGAAGGCCAUUGAAACCUUAGCAAUAGUGACUAAAAUGAUGCCUUUUAUCUUUUUGUGGCCACAAACUUUACCAGAAACCGGAGAUAUGCAACAGAAUAGAAUAGAAUAUACUGUAAAUUUCCAGAGUGUAACAUCUUUUUAUAACACAAUCCUAAGAGGUUUGUUCCAAGAGUUGCAUGUAGCACACAGAUGUUAUAUUUUGCAUGUUUGUGUUGCAUUUCCAUUCUUUUAAUUGUGCUAUCACGGUUUGGCAGUAUAUAUAUAAUCCAACAAUUAGAAGAUGUGCUGUUGUGAUCACACUUCCUCAUCAUUCUAAGAAUGGAGCAUUGGAGAUUUCUGGGGCAAUUUAUGUCGUACAUGCUCAUAGCUUUCUUGAUAAAGAGUAAAAACAUCACUGGAGUGAUCACAGUGGCCAUUCCUCAGGAUUUUUUUUCUUUUAUUUUUCUUGCUGGUAUCCACCCUUGUCAUUAUAUGCCAAGAGAAACAUGGCUGGCAUGUUCUCGCUUUGCAGUGAAUAUUGGAUAUGUUUGUUUACUUGGUCCAGGAUGAACUUUUGUUUGUUCUCAUAAUUUUAAUUCUUACAUGCAGCUUAUUUGAUGAUUUUUAUUAACUUUUUCAGAUGAACCGGAGGAUAUUGAUAUGCCUAAAGAACUUCAUGGAUUGAAUCAAGUAAUUAGUUGUUAUGUUUUUCCUUUUUCUUGGCUAUAUGUGGCCUUGGUGUAUCAGUUUAUGUUGGCCAUGAGAAGUAAGCAUUUCAGAGCAUAUGGCCUUGCUUGUUUUGCAAAAACUUGCUUGCUUUUGAUGUCAGCUUAACAAAGCCUAGGUUGUGUUUUUUUCCCUUUUCUAAAUCAGAGUCUAACAUUCUUGGAAAUGAAUGAAGAAUAUGGGUUUCUAUAUGAUCAGGACCUGAAGAAACCAGAGUUGAUUACUGACUACACGGAAGGAUCUUGUGCAGUUGUCGGAACAAGUAAAACCAAACUUGCCAUUGAGAAGUUGCUUAGGCAGGAGACUUUCUCGAGGUAGUUAACUUCAUUUCUCAUUGUCCUCUUUGUUCUAGGGUUGUCUGUUUUUCUUGGCACCCUCCUUUCUGACAAGAGUUUUGUCUUUUCACUUUUGCAUGUGUGCAUAUAUUUCCUCUGUAUGCACCAUAUAGCACUUUCCCUUUGUAUAUAAUACAUGGAAUGGUUUAUAAUGUGACAAAUGAUGAAAUGUUAUCAUUAUAUUAGUAAAUAGGACAGUUUAGUUGCUAUGUAAUUCUGAGUAAUUCCUGCACAGUCUGAUUGUUCACCUUAUUUUUUUCUAAUCAGAAAUGACUAGAAAAAUAAUUAGGAUCACAUCAGUUUGGUUGGCUUCGACGAUGUGGAUUUUAGGAUACAAUUUUGACAAAACAACAUGAAGCAAUAAUAUCCCAACUAUUUAGAGUCCACUAUACAAUAUGUCACUGCCAUUGAGCUAUGUAAAAAACAAUAUUUGUAGUUAAAUUAAGAACAUUUAAANNNNNNNNNNNNNNNNNNNNAUAUAUAUAUAUAUAUAUAUAUAUAUAUAUAUAUAUAUAUAUAUAUAUAUAUAUAUAUAUAUAUAUAUAUAUUCUAGCAAAAUCUUCUUAGGUCUACUUCUUCCUCUACUCAUACUACCAAUAUUAUGUUUUGCAUCUCCUAACUACAACAUUUAUAUAGCUCUUGGCACAUGUCAAAGAUACCAUUAUAAAUGAUUCUUUGUCAUUUUAUUCUCUAUCAAAACUAUAUUGUUCAUAAAUGAAAACAUUUCCUUUUCUAUCUUUCAUAGUAGCUACACACAUUCAUAUUAAUAUUCUCAUCUUAUCGACACACUUUUUGACAAAAUAUUUCACUUAUUAUCUUCGAAGUUUUCAAAUAUUCUUAUUUUAUAAUUGAAAAAAUAAAAAAAUUGAUACUGAAACUAAUUAUUCUAGAACAUUUAAUUAUUAUUUUGAAAAUUUUGUGUGAUUGCUUUGUGAAAUAACAUAAUGUCUUGUAUGCUCUAUAAAGUGAUAUUAUUGGAUGUUAUGGUUUAUCUUUGUUAUCAUCCUGAUCAUUCACCUUAUUUUCUAUCUAUUCAGAAAUAAUUACAAGAAUAAUUACAAUAGGAUCAGGUCUGUUGGAUUGGACUAUGUGGAUUAUGGUAGCAGGUUCGGCAAAAAGUUCUAAGUCUGACUUUUCAAAUUCUGAACAAUCUUAUAAUUAGAAAAAAUAAAAUUUGAGUUUGAAAUAUUGGUGAUGUGAUUACUAUGUGAAGUUUCAAUCACUUGUAUGCUCUAUCACAUGAUAUUAUAGUAGUGAGUAUUCUUUUGUGGUACUACAUAGUUUUCUUUUCCAAGAAACAUGAUGGAAAAGGUUUCUUUUUUAAAUUUUUGAUGAAAAGCAAACAUGAAUUGGUGUGGAAAAAGGAAGAUGGUUUCCUUUUCUGUUGUGCUCUAAGUUGCAGGAAAUCUUAAAUCUUAGUCUUUUUUUAGGAAAUUUAACCAAACAAAUGGAAAGAAAUGAAUUAUUAAAGUUUUUCUUUAGAUUUUCAAAGAAAAAUGGGAACCAGAAACCAGCAUUUUCAAGAAAUCUUUUCUACCAAACAUGGAAGAAGAUUUUUUUCUGGGUAUAAUUUGCCAUCAAAUUGUCCAUGUAACCAAACACAUGUGGGUACCCAGGUAAACAUUUGAAUUUUGGUGCGGGUGAUUGGUAAGAUUGGUCUGAAUUGUCUAACCUGUUUUGGAUGAUUUUUACAGAAAGAGCACAGAACAGAUACACCAAAUAUGUCUCUAUUAUCUAGAAUUUAUUGAAGCUAUAAUGUUUUGAGUAAAACUUUGCUAUUUUGCUUCUAGGUAUGAAUGCGACAGACUGACAAAGUUGAUAAAAUCGCAAGUUAUCGAAUCCCCGUCAGAACUUGUUCAGGAAGGUGCUGAAAGAGGCAGCAAAGACAUGGACUCUUUGGGAGAUUGGCGAUCUUUGAAGCAGUAUAUGGAAUUACCUGAAUCAUUUCAUUGCUCUCCUGUUCUGAGUUCUCUUUCCCCUAGGACUCCCGCUUUUAGAAAGUGCACACCUGAUAUCCACAGUGCAGCAGUUAUGGAGGCCAAGAAAUGGUUAGAUGAUAAAAAACUGUUACCAAGCACCAAAGUUGAUCCUGUGUGUGGACCUUGCACUUCAGACACUGAUAUGCUUCCUUAUGUAAGGACCUACUUUGAACUUUCUUCUCACUUGAUUGUCUUUGUUUGGAUAUUAUUUCAGCUUGUGUCCUCAUUCUUUGCUCUAAUUAUUACCCAUUUUAUGAAAAUAUUGUUUCAAUUUCAUAUCAUUGCGCUAUCUUAAGCAUAUGUCAUUUGAUUAGUUUUCUAAAAUACAUUCUUUUCUCACACCGAUUCUUAUAUUAUUGUCUUGCUGUUAAAUAUUUAUAUUUUAGAAACAGCAUCGAUAGAUUUGACAUCUUUUCCUUGUAUUCUAGUAACAUAAGGAUUUAUGCAUAUUCCAUACAUGUAUGCCUUAUAUCCAUUUUGAAUAUGCAUCCGUUGUAUCUUUGAUUUGUAUGUCUUUUCUGAACAAAUAUGGUUACAUAUUUGGUCAUGGUUUCCCAUUCUUUGGUGUAGCUGACAGUUGCAACUUUGACAACUGUAAGCAAGCUUGCAAUGAUAUCAAUGCAUCAUUUCCACCAUUGAAAUAGGAUGUUGGAUGGCCAUUAUCUCUGAUGGAUGAAGGAUCCUCUCUAGUACUCUUUGAUGCAGCACAACAAUGUGAUGUGGUACGAAGGGAAAGAAAUUUUCCACAUGUGAGCACUUUGAGACAAUUCAGAUAGAAGAAGUAGCAGAUGUAGGUUUGCAACCUUAAGGAGAUAGCAUCUUGCUUGCUGUUAUGAGAGAGAAAAAGGUACAAAGAAGGGUGAUAGAGGAUGAAAAUGUGGAAUUACCUCUUCAGAAAUUGCAAGAGAUACAGUGAAGAUAAUUUGGCUUUUUUUGGUUAGCUAUGCAUUUUUUAGGUUCAUUGUGGGUCAUUGAUAUGAACCUUAAGCUCUGUACUGUCUGGGUUGGCAACGAGUAUGCUGUUAGUUUGCUGGAGAUUAUUUUAGCAAUUAUAUUUGAACAAGUCAUGCAAUAUAUGUUCAUUCGAAGUGUCAGCAGUACCAUGGGUCAAACUCUUUUCUAAAGAUAAUGUGGCAGCACUUUGCCAAGUACAUUAUUUUCAUGUGGCAACAACUAUAGAUGGUCCAUGUGGAAUUUCCUUUCAUAACAGCUAGUCCUGUUACAUGAAUUUUUUAUUUUCUGUUUCUGAAAUUUGGUGAUCCUACCUUAUCAUAUUGCUGUGUUAGUGAUGGAAGGAUUAAUUAUUUUGGUGAAUAUGUGCUCAAUUCAUACAUAUAUGCAAAUGCACUUUUUAGUUCUAUUAUGUGUUGAAAUUUGAAAUUCCUCAUUAAUGUGACAUGGAGUGACUUUUAGCUUUGCCUUGAUAUUUUUAAUGAAAACAAAAUGUAAAAUUUCUUCUUCAAAGCGUAUGUAUCUUUUGGCGUGUUAGAUUAUUUUUUGGGCUUAUGUUUCACCUCUUUAAGAUAUUUCCUUUUUCCCCCCCCUUUGCCUAGACAUUUUCUUACUUUUCAUUCGCUUGAUGGAACUUAUUUCUGACUUAUCCUGGUUUGACCAUUUAUAAAGGCUUUGCAGUGAUUAAGGUAUCUGUGACCACCGGCUAUGCCGGAAAUAGUUGGCACAGUUUAAUAUAUUGUACUGACCACAGCCUAACAUGCUUGAUCAUGUGGCAAGCAUGUCAAGGGCAAAUGAAUCAGUUUUCUGCCUCCCUGCUUGGCAUGAGAACACCACUGACAAACAUGCACUGACACAGACCUGCAUGUAAAGGUAUGCACCUACGUGUAAUACUCCUGUGUAUCAUGCAGUGCAGUUAGGGGAUCUUUGAUGUGGAAUUACAAUAUGAAUAAGGGACAUCUGUUUAGGCAUGUUUAUGACGAAAAAGAAAUGCCACCUUUAGAGAAAGUGUUUUGACUAAUCUGAUUGCAUCUGUCUAAAAUAGGUUUUGUAAUCCAUUCUGAAUUGAUGUUCUUUAGAAAUUUAAAGAUUCAGUUUAUUGAUGCAUUCUACAGGAUGUCCAUGAUAAAGUUGUCUCGCCAGUGGAUUUGGCUAAAAUGUACAUGAGAUCCCUUCCUUUUUGGCAAUCUCCAUGUUCUGUUAGUAGUGGCCUCAAGAUGCCAGUUCCUAGCAAGGUUGAUUUUGGCCCGGAUGACAUCCCCCACACAACAGCCAGCCAUUCUUUGCCCCCAUUCAAGGUACUUGUUAUGGGACAAAUAAUUAUAGAAAAAAUGAAAGUAAUGAUAUGUUGGUGAAAGUUUUUGUUCUGUAUAUUGCAUAAAUAUUUAGUUUUUUGUUAUGCAAACAAGAUUAAAUUGACUGAUUCUGUGAAAAGUUAGUAAGCUAUUUUUUCCUUUAUCAAAUUAACUUGGUCAGAAUUUUGAUGAAACUGGUUGGUGUUAGUUCACUAUAAUUAUUCAGUCAAAAAUUUAAAAUUCAAAAUGGAACUCAUAACAUUGGAUGCUACGGCUGACAUGAGCCGAGUCAUUUGUUCAUAUUUGUUUUAAACUUGCUGGAAAUCUACCUAAACUUGCAUCGAAGAAAUCUGUGCUUCUUUUUUCAGCUUCAAUUGGAAGCACCUCUUUAAGAAUCGUGUUUCCUUUGGGUUUCCAUUUGCCAGCUCCUUUAGUCUAACUUAGUGGGGAGCAUAACUGUCAUGAUUUUGAUUUGUGUCAUAUUAAUGCAGAUGUAUAAACAAGACUUAGAGGAUAUGAUAUACUUGCCCUUGACUUUUCUUUUAUAUCAUGGAAUUCUUUAGUCUUGUGAUGUCAGUGAACUUAUUGACUGAAGGCCAAGCAACAAAAUGAUUCUCCAAAUGAUAUUGUUUAUGCUGCCUUUUUAUUUUUAAAAAUUUUCGUAAUAUGUGCCAUCAUUUAAAUUUUUCUUUGUUUGUUUCAAUAAUAUUGACAAUGGUCCAGCUAGUGCUUUAUGAUUUAGCAUACAAAGGAUGACAGACAGUUUUCUUUUGGUCUUUUCCUUGCUUUUGAAGAGAACAUAUGAAACAGAAGAUUUUAAAAAAUUGAUCACUUUUAAGUUUUAACGUUACCAACUCAUUUAUUAGUCAGAAUGUGCACGCGAUUUAUAGAGCACAACUGGUUGAUUCACUUGACUUUUAUUUUAAAAUUCUGUUAAUGAUGUGCUGCUCUUUUCUCCUAGUAUACAUGUUAAAAUGUACUUCUGUGUUCCUUUCUGAUGCUUAUUUUUUUCUUUUUCUACAAUCUAAUGAUGCCUAUGUGAAGGAUUUUAAGAGGAAGUAUUGCUCUACCAGAUUGUGGGGAAGUCCGAAUGACAACCGUAGAGUCCGUCUGAAACUGACAGAAAAGAUGCUGGAGAGUCAAGGGCCCAGACAUAUUGAUUUGCUGAAAAAUAUAUAUCAAAAUGAAACUUCAAAGUUCACAUCAGCAGUAGAUGCGGGAAGUCGAGAUGUUUUAGGAGCGAAAAAUUUUUCGUGUACGUUUCAAGCUGCGGAAAUUUCCAGUGCUCCUGCUAAGUCAUCUGUGGAUUUGCUUGUUGAAUAUCAAUGUUCAGAGGAUGCUCCCCAAUUACCCGAUGGAAAAACUGUCAAAUCAAGCCAUCAAACAUCAACAGACAAUUCCCCUUCCGUGAUCAUAGCUUCAGAGCCUGAAGAGGCAGUUGAAGCUGUAGAAUCAACCAAGGAAACUGCAUGUCCAACUAUCAGUCCUUCAGAUCGCAGUGAAACCAAGAUAGAGGGUGAACCAAGUUUACCUUUUGCUUUCAAUGAAGAUAAGGUAAUCAGCGUUUGCAUUGCUUAUUCUACUAAGGUGAUUGUGCUUUUCUCUAAACUCUGGAUUUUUCUGUUUCUUAUUCCAUUGUUAGUAUUGAGUCACUUCUCUCAUAUAUUAAUAGAAUACUUGUGAUCAUCUGUUUGAAAAACCUUGUCUCAUCAGGAUGUCAUAGAGGCUUCGCAGACCAAAGAGCUAGAAGACAUUGUUGACAGUGACGUUGCUCGUGAAUCUCUUAUUUCAGCUUCCACACCAAUGGAGUAUGGUGGUAAGUUCUCAUUGGAAGUUGAGAUUGAAUUUCCAUUGCUACCAUGAGUUAAAAAAUGAUUUGUUGACCUAGAAUUUUGUAUAAUUCAGGAGCCCUGAUGCCUGAAAAAGUAGAGGUACAAGAGGGCAUCAAUUCCACAACAUUGGGGUUAGUCAUUUCAUGCAUGGAUGUUUCUAGUCUAUGCCUUUAGUAUUAUUUUCCUUUGUUAUCAAAAUAGUAGGUGCCUAUCGUAGGGCAUGCUUAAUUUGUUUGAUUUAUUGUCCUUUUACUAUAUUGUAGAGUAGCAGAAACAUAGAGAAGAAAGGGAAAUAAGAGAAAGGGAAAAAAAAGAAAUUGAGUGAAAGCAGGGAAGAGGAGAGAGAGAGAGAGAGAGAGAGACAUGAAGAGGUAUGGUUCGCAGCCAUAGAAAAGGCAGCCCGAUGUGCAAGCCUCUUGCCAUUGUGGGGUUGCCUACUACCAUAACUUUUAUUAAAUACAGAAAAGGAAAGAUAUAACCAAUCAAUACCCUGCCAUAUUAACCAGUUCAAACUGCUUGUCCAGAGGAGUCCGAGUGCGAUUCAAAACUUUAAUGAAAACUGAUAGAUAAACAAGGCCUUAAACUGACUCUAAUGUAACUCAUAUUAAACUCAACAGAUGGACUGAAAUCACUUAAUAAACCUAUUAAUUUAAAUAUGAAUAAGAAUACAACUAUGACUCUGUUUGGCAACUAAUUAAGACAGAUAUAUCAUCAUGGAUGAUGAGAGAAUUUUGCAUCAACAGCUUAUCAUCUUUGAGGUUAGUAGAUUCCAUAUGUGAGAAUGAGGUUCUUUUGCACAUCAUUUGGAUACUUUACACUACAUUUUUAAAUUCAAAAUUUCUAUUGUUAUAUAAGUCUUUAACAUAUUCUGACUUUAUGUCUAUUGAUCCAUAAUUUAUAGCUUUUUCUAACCUUUGUUGUGGGUCUUAGUUUUCUGAAUGUCGCAGAUUUUAAUUAGUUGGUGCCUUGUGGUUAUUGAGUUCAUUUUUUUCCCUUCAUUGGUUGUGACCCCCCCUCUGUCAAGAUAUGGUCAGAAGACUCAGACCUAUGAUAACUGUAGAAUUAGCUUCAUUUUGAUUGAGUUUUGACCUGAAAUAAUUAAUUCUUUCUGGCAAAUUGAUGUCAAUGAUGAUGCAAUUUAAGGCAAUACGUUGGUCCUCACUAAUAGCUCUAAGAUUACUAAUAGACUGCCAUGUUAUGAGUGCAGAGCAAUGGUGUCAAUAGAUGGAUUGUUGUGCUCUUACAAUUAUUUGACUGCAAACUUGAAUUCUCAGCUUAUUUACAUUAUUCAGUGAAUUCUUCGGAUCACCUUUUGGAAGAUGUGUUCAAUUCUUGCAGAUGUAGUGGGAGUAUCAUAAACUCAAUAUGAUGAUUGUAAAUUCUGGUCUUCUAUGCAAAAGCAUUCACAUUAUGAUUCAUACCUCUACGUCUAAUUGAUCUUCUGUCCAAGGAUUUAAAUAUCACCCUAUCAUACAGAAAUGACAAAAACAAUAACAAGCCAUAAUGUCCUGACUAUUUGGUUAUAUGGAUUUUUACAAGUGAUUCAGCUCUGUACAAGGCAAUAUAUCUUUAGUUACUUAGGAAGCAUUUAAAUCUCUUUUCAUAGUUUCUAAUGAAGUCUUCUUAUGUCUCCUCUAUCUCUCCUCGCAUUACCAAUGCUAAUUGUCUCUCUUGGGAGAUACUAUACUUGCUUUUGUCAAUGAAAUUAGUACUUGGAGGAUCUAGGUGCAUAAGACAUUGAUGGAUCCUAAAGCUUUAUAGGUGAAGUACAUUAAUGUAGACCUGUAAUUUUAGGAUGUGCAAGCCUCUGUUUUUCCUCUCUCCUUGAAAGUUUGUGCUUCAUUCAUUCAGAAAAUCAUCUUUAAAGGACAUGACGAAAAGCAUGACUGGGGUUAAUAAUGUUAAAAUAAAUUCAAUUUCUGAACACGGAACUUAUUUUGAGGCUUCUUUUAUUUGUUGUCUUGCCUUUUGACUCUUGGAGAAUUUUUGUACCUGUAUGAUUUUUUGUGAAAUCUGAAGGGUUUUCUUCGUGAUAUGACCUUUUACUUAAUGUAAUUUUUAACAAGCACUAACUAAUAUUAGUUUCUCUACUCUUGAACCCAGUUAUGCUGAUGAUAUCGCCAAUCUUGACAAUAAUGUUCAAACUUGCAUCACAAACACAAUUCCUACAGUUUCUGGCAUUCUGGAGGCCAACAACACUGAAGAAUUGAAUCUAGAUUCAGGUUUCACAUUCUCAACUCUUUUGUUGUUAGUUUCAGGCUCUUAAUUAUUUUGUUGCUCAGUAGAACAUAAUGCUUUGCUUAUUUAUCUGCCAGGUUUAGCUGUAUUGCUCAUUAUUUCUAUCUGAUACGGUUUGUCUUGCUGAGCUCAUGUUAAUUCAUUAGAUAAUAGUUGGUUUUUGGGUUGGAUGAACUCCAGAAUAAUGUCUGAAACAUAGGGGUUCAAAGUACCUAAAACGGAACUCGACGCCAAUUUUGAUAACUGGGUGCAUCCAUUAUCUAUCUAGAUAUUAUCUUGGAUAUUGGGUUCUAAAGUUAAUAUUUGGCCUUUUCUAACUUGUACGUGUUGGGAGACUUACUUGAUAUAUUAGACUUGAAAUACCAUCUAAAUUGUGAAUGACUCUUCUUUAGCUUAUAUUGCACCAUUUGCCACUAAAUUAUCAUAAAACAAACAUAAUAUUAAUAUAUUCUUGCACAUAAAUAUUUCUGUUGAUGUAUUCUAUUGUUAGGCCUCACAUGUGGCUCGAUCUAGAUUUAAAUCUUAAUCUGACUAGCUAUUAGAUAUAUUAUUAGGGGUCCAUAUACCAGAUAUGUUAACUUAUUCUAAGGCUCCAUCCUUUAAAAAAUUGGAAGGCAAUUUAAUUGGGUAAUGGGCUGAUUGGGAUUCAUUGAAACCUUUAGUUGAUGGUGUUUACACCAGACUAAUUGUGGCAAUCUGGUAGAUUGAAUCAGGUUCAAGUUGGGUUUAUGUGUAGUUGACCAAAGUAUCCUCCCAGAACUGAUCCAUCCAUAAUUGGGUUAAGAUAUCUCAAUCCAUGCCCAGCUUUUUAUUUCAGUUUUGGUUUUGGGUUUGGGUUGAAAACAAUAAAAAAAACUAAAGAAUUAGAAUAUUAUGAAAAAGAAUCAACCAAAUGUUUCUAAUACCUAUUUUCCAAGUCAGGAAACAUCAGAUAACUUUCAAGGUUUGAUGAUGACAUAAUUGAAGUACCAAUUCACCGCAGGGACAUCAGUGUUUCAGUGGUUGACGUGUGGGACCACUGGAAAGUGCAGAGAGAAGUAAACUAAGUCAUACUACUUUUUGAUGAUAUUUUUGGAUUAAUUUAAUAAAUUAUGACUGACUUAACUGUAGCUACAUUAAAGUGUCUGAAGGAGAUUGUGUCGUAUCUUUUUAAUCUUACUGACCCACUGAUUCAGGAGACAACCCUGAACUCAUCCAAGAUAGUUUUGCAUUGACAUCAGGUAAUUCUAACAUGAUCAAAUGACAGAUGAUCUCACCUAGACCCAGUUUAUGAUAUUGUGUGGGCUGUCCGGUUCAUGUGAGGAAUUGUCACCCAUACAUUAGACUUGAAAGUCUAUGAUCCAAGGUGUGGGAAACAAACACUUUGUAAAGAAUCAGUUCACGAUAGCAAAUUCUUUGGAACAAUACGGUUUUGACUAUCAGUGUUGUUAGUGCUUUAGUGAUUUGUGCGUUUAUAACUAGUGCUUGGCAGGGGAAUCUGCUGAACUAAAUUGUGUUAAAGAUGCUUGCUUCUUGUUAUUUUGAUGUGCCUAUUUUUGUGGGUUUAUGUAUGAAUUUUUUGAGCAUAACAUGUGAUUGUGGUUUAGCAUUUGUAUCAAUAAGAAUAUAUGUUUACAUGCAUUGAAUAUCUUAUACUUUGCAGUUACAAAGCCGCAGGAUGGAGAUAUUUAUUCAGAACAUGAGGCAAAAGGAUUGACGAAUGAAUUCUCAACCAAUGGGUAACUGCAGAUGAAAAUAUCUUAUUUUCAUGGUGAUCCUGCUGUUUUACUCGAUUCACAUCAGUAUAACAGCUUUUUUUUUAUUCAGCGGAUCUGCCGAGUUAAAUCCCGCCUCACAGUCCUUUUGUGAGGAAGUUCAAAGUUGUAUCCACCUUAGCAAUGGGGAGGAGACAACAGGCAAUUCUGAAGAAACCUGUGAGCUUCCAAGUGAAGCUGCUAUCAACAAGGAGGCUGCUCAUGAUAUGGACAGUAUCAUAGGCAAAUCUGAAAACGGUACGAGGAUGAGAUCAGUCGAGAGAGUCCUAAUUGAACGUGAGCCUGAACCUAGCAGCCAUACAACAGUAAAGGGAGGAAGAGGAAGAGGGCGAGGGCGAGGGCGAGGGCGAGGGUGGGGGCGGAGGCGGGGUCGGGGUCGGGGUCGGGGUCGGGGGCGUGGACAUGGUUCAAGUGACAACCCGCAAUAGCGGGCCCUGUCGUCGGAUGCUUUGUCACACCAAAACAACAAGUUGUUUGGCAUCCAUUCCCAGGGUAGGUGCCUGUAUCCACGUAAUGUGCUGUCAUCUCAUUUCCACUUUCAUCAGCUUAAGGCAAGAGUUAGAUCUGUCGUCGGAUCUCAUCUUUGCGUCUGUAAUAUUUUAUGGUCGAUCGCCUUCAACACCCACAAAUCACUUGAAACAUCUUGGUUUGUUACUCUUUCGGCAGCUUAAUUAUCAUACUGAAUAGUGGUCUUGGUCAUCUCUCGUGCUGUCCUCUUGCAGUUGUCUAAGCUUCGGUUCGUUCAGUAUGUUCUUGGACAGACGUGGUUCUCCAGCGUCUAUGCCCAACAACUCAAUGCUCUGUGCUUUCUAUGCAUGAAUGCAAGUUGAUGCAUAAGAGAGGCAACAUAGGUACCAAAAGACUGGAUCAUAAGUUACUCGAGACAGUUAACCUUUCACCUGCAUGAAUUGAUUAGAUCACAGAGAAAUCAAAUAUUAGUAUAGUGUAUACUGUAGGAGGUAAUGUGGUGUGGCAUCUUAAUUUUCUCUGAGCCAGCCAGCGAGAGAAAAAAAAAACAUCGAUAGAUGUUGUCAGGGGAAUAAACUGAGGGGUCAACCAAGUAGGUUGUUGAGGCCUCGGCAUCGAGGCAUCUUAGAUCAUCUUUGACCUACUUGAUUCCCUGGCCGAGUCGGCUCAGUCAACCAUCUCGAGGCAUCUCAGAUCGAGAACUCAUGCUUUUAGUGCAUGGCACACAGCAGAUAGUAUUAUUACUGAAAGGGCAGUGGCACCCUUUACAUGACUAGGUCUAACCCAGACUCUCACGUUUUCAUGUGUAUGUGACAGGUGACGACGGACUGCCGGCUGAAAUGACCCAGCUACAGUCACAGAUAAGAAGAUGAUGAUGAAGAAGAAGAAGAAGAAGAAGAAGAAGAAGUCGAUAUCUCCAGAGAACCAUUGUAUAUGAGCUCCUCGAUCAUCUCCUCUAUGUACUCAUCAUCCACGCGUGUGACCUCCGCCUCCUCCUCCCUUCCGACCGGCGCGACCACCUCAACUCUCUUGCCCUCCUCCCGGGACGCCGAGCAGCACUUCUCCAGCUUCGCCAUGAGGCCCGGGGACAAGGCCGGCGCCGGGAUCGAGCAGUUGGGGUCGACGGGGAAGUUGGUGCGGGCCUUGGAUCCGCACAUGAGCCGCGCCGCCUCGUCGUAGGCCCUCGCGGCGUCCUCAGCGGUGCCGAAGGUGCCUAACCAGAUCCUGGUCUUCCUGUGGUCGAAGCAAGCAUUAGCACAAACAUGUAGGAGCGCUACUGGUGUUCGCAACAACACUGUGAGAAGGUAGGAGACGUUACAGAACAGGGUGCCUGAUCUCGGAGACCCACGAGCCCCAGUGCCUUUGCCUAACCCCUCUGUAUCUUUGUAGUCUUGGCAUGUCUGUCCAAUGUGAGCAGCUGCGUGUGUGUGUGUGCGUGAGAGAGAGAGAGAGAGAGAGAGAGAGAGAGAGAGAGAUGUAGGCAGGUGAUCCUAUUUGUAGUAUGGGGAGUGACUGCCUUCGCAUAUAAAGCCUAUGCGGGAGGAGACACAACUGCCCCUUUGGUACAAGCAGCCCAUUAAGGGCCCAUGAGCCGACAUCAAGCUUCAAUCUUAAAGCACUUACUAAUUAUUAUGCCUCAUAUCUUACUACUAAAAUUCCUAUGGUGAUUUCAGUAACUUUUGAUUCCUGUACUUAAUCAUAAGACUUAUAGAAAAUCAAAGCAUUCAGGGAAAUGGUUUUUAUUGACAAAAGAAAUAAUUUACUUAAGCUAAUAUGCCCUUAUUGAUGACAACACACAACAUAAAAAGCAUUCAUGUCAAGGGAGCUCGAAUGAUGAAUAAAAAUAUUAUUUUUAUAUUAUUUAUUCUCUUCUCCGUAUUACAUGCGUAUGGAUAUGCGUCGUCCAUGCAUAGAAUCGAAUUGAUUGAUGAUAGAUAAACGACUCCGACGAUCACGGGCCGACCAUGAUAAAGAAAUGGCAAGUGGGCCCAUCAAGUACACAAAGAGGCCCAAAAAGAAAGCUUGGUGUAAUAUUAUACAAUGACACGGCCAAUUGGUAGGGCAAUGCAAGUCCUCAGCGCCUGCCCCAUGUGUUGUUGGCCUCUCUCUCUCUCUCUCUCUCUCUCUCUCUCUCUCUCUUCCCUGUCUUUUCAUAUCAGAUACAAAGAACUCAAGUCAUGUAGAUGAGCUUAUGGGUUGUGGGGCUCAUGGCAAGUGACAUCACAAUGCUUGCACUGCCAUGGUGGGAACAUCAACAGAUGAGAGCUACUUCGAGUUACCUCAGAGGCCCUCACAUGAAGUGCCAUGGGGAGGGGUGUCUCCUUGUUGUUUAGGAUAUGUCACUUGGGUUUCUUGUGUGUGUCUUUGGAUGCUUUGGAGAGGGAUGGGGGGGAUAUCAUUUGUGUAGGGGGGAAGAGAGCAUGGCACAUGGAAGCAUUUUGGAGAGCACAUGAAUGGCUUUGGAUCUUCAAGGGUGAGCCCACAAGGGAUGUCAUGUAGUGGGAGGUCAAGGGCAGUGCAUGUGCCCCAUGUGAGGUGAUAGGUUCGAUGGGGGAUGCCAAUUUACUCCCCCUACUUUGAGGUGAAAUAAUAAAGAUGUGUGAUGACACCAAUAACUCCUAAAUAUUUAUACAAAAUUAUUAAAUAAUUAAAAUAAAAAAAAGAGUCCAUCCUACCCCACAUUUACAUCUUUAAUCUCAAUAUUAAGCUACAUCUAUAUAAAAUCAUGAUCCAACCUAACUCAUUAGCACUUUAAAGUGAGGUGUACAUUUAUAUAUAUGAACACACAUUUUUCUCUCUCUAAGUGUAUAUUUACAUGCCCAAUGGGCCAAUCCAACACAUUCUUGUCUAGUUUAAAAAAGCCCAAAUCUUUGUUUUUUUUUCAGAAAUAUUUGGUGUCAAAUCAUGAAAGCUCAAUAUAAAUAAUUAAACACAAGAAUAAAAUUAUACUUUAGAUAGGUCUCAAGUAUAAUAAAAAAAAUCCAUAUAGCUGAUCUGAAAUAAUUAUUCAGUAUUAUUAUUAUUAUUAUUAUAAGUCCAUUAUUUAUUAUUUUUAAUAUUAAAAAUAGCAAGGUAGCUCAACAAUAAUUCUCAAGUUACCCAUAAUAAGGUCCUCAUAUGUCUACAUGGAAACAAAAAAAGGAACCUUAAAAGGGAAGGGAGUCGAUGCAUUCAUUACAAGAUAAGAUUCAUAUAUUCCUAAAAAAGGAUAAGUGCACGCUGAGUUCCAACACGAAGGCUUUCGUGGGUGUCACCCGUUGCACGACCAAUUGCGACCACAAAGAGCAUGGCUUCGGUGCGGCGAUGAGAGCGAUCGCUUGGCUUUCAGCUUCGUCUCCGAUGUCAGCACACCGGGGCGUUCUCUGUGCCGGAACAAGGGAACGGCGAGCUUGUACGUGGCGGACGCCCGUGUAGUCUUGUGGCCUCCGUGGGCCGAACCUCUCGGCUUGGCCGUCAUCGUCGCGGCUGCCGCGGGUGGAGAGCUCAGGUUGAGGCCGGACAGGAGGAGGAGGAGGAGGGCCAGAACGAUGAAAACCUUGGCCAUCCUUGUUGCGGGGAGAGACGGUGGCUUCGACAAGGGUUGCAUGGGUAGAUGGCGUUUUAAUGUCGCGUCUUUGAGGCCAUGACCUCUCUUCCUUUGAGGUAGCGACCUCUUGACAUGGCCAAGCCACUAAAUAUUUAGCGGUCCUCCAGUUUGGUAGAUUGUUCCGUUCCCUUCGAUGCUCAAGUUAGUAUUAAUAUUAAAAUUAAAAUUUAUUAUAAUUUUUUUAAGUAAUAUUUCUGUAUUUUUCAUGAGAGAAUAUUCAACAUUAAAAAAAAUUAUUUAUUUUACCAUAAAUCUAUUUAGGUUUCAAUUCUUUAUACGAACUAAAACUGAUUUCAAUUCGAUUUCGAUAAUGUGUUAGAUGGGAAGCUCAUGCACUGUGAUCAUCGGAUCACUUCAGUUCCCGAUGACAGAAGAGAAGGAAGAAGAACCAGCAGAGGAGGAGUCACCCGAUUCCUCCACUUGGAGCUGCUUCCGAGCAGCAGCGCGUGUAAGCAUUUCUUGGGUCCAUCCAAUGUGCUCGUUUCUUCUUCUUCUUCUUCUUCUUCUUCGUCUUCUUCUUCUUUUUCGUCUCUGCAGUGCAUCCUAUGCUGAGUGUCAAUUCAACUUCAUCCACUGUGGUCUCCUCGUCGAUGCUCGUUGCUCCCUUUGAACUGCACUCUUCGGCUGGCUGUUCGAGAUCGAAUCCCUUGACAUGCGCUCUGCCUUCUGCGUUCGAUCGAGCUGCACACCGCUGCAAAUUAUAGCUGGUGUUGGAGGUGGAAGAGGCACUGCUCCAGAUUCUGCUCCCGGUUUCCGUGAACUCGUUGUUUCGCAGCUCAGCCAUCCGCAGCUUCUGAUCUUUGUACAGGCGAUGGAGUUCGUACACCUGCAGGCAUCCAAUCUAAAUGAGUACUCUUGACAUCGUUUGCAGUGAACAGGGAGUGCUUCUACCUGUUGCUUGAAGAUUUCUUCAUGCUUCAACAUCGUAUUCCUGACAGCAUCUCUGCUGUCGCAUUCAGCGAGUCUCUCCAUCUACCACUUCACCAAGCACACAUUGUUGCCUUCGGUGGUCUGUUGUCGGAGACUACGAUGGAGUUCUGCCGCUGCAAGGUGGUGAAGAGGCUAUUGAUCUGAUGCAGCUUUGUGCCCAUUCCUGUGGAAUCAAGAGCAUAUAGACAAAAGGUUUGCAGUAAAGAGAUGAACCUGAAAACAUCAGUCCAUUAGGCUGACAUAUAAUAAGGUUCUUAGAACUUGUAAUUCCAUUACCAUCGCCUUAUGGUGAUGUUGGAUAAACAACUGCAUCAAGUCGAUCGAUCGAUCGAUCGAUCGAGAGAGAGACAGAGAGAGAGAGAUUGCUAUCCGGAGACCAAUUUGACAGAUUUAUAUAUCUCAUGAAGGAAUCAUGAGAUCUUAUAACAAGGAGUCAUUGGUGAGCCAAAUCCUCUGUUCUUAUCUUGUUUCUGGCUCAUCAUCUUUCCAAAAUCUUGCCUUGGCAUCUCCAUGCUGAUGUUUCAAGAUUAAAGAAAAGAUGAUCCUGUUCUUGGAAAUUAGGCUUACAACCUCCCUCCAGAGAGACUAAAAAGAGAAGAUCAUACAACAGAAGCUUAUAAAUAGCACACAGAUGUGAGCAAUCCAGGGAAAACCAUUGAACUGUUCUCACGAGACCUGAUGUGAUUCAAAGGAAGGUAAAAAGAAAACGAAAGAUGACGACGAGUGCAUGUCAACUUUCCUCAGAGAAUUCAAGAGAACUAAAUUAUGCAGAAUGGCAAGAAGAACAUUGGUGUCCGACUCAUCAAGCUGAAAGUGGAGGUGCAAACACAGGUCAGAGGAUGGAUGUCGAGCGAUUUCCAGUGAAAAGUUAGUCAUUCGUUGUGCAUCCAUACUGCCUUGUAAGAUUUCAAGCAUAAAUGUAAGCGGAGAACACUUGGAAGACAGAUUUCACCUGCAAGCUGCAAUUCCACUACCCGAUGAAGCCUUCAGCCAUCUCUCCUAUCACCUCCUCUACUCAUUCCGAUGACGAUGCCAUCACUGUGGCAGUUGCUUGCAAGAUGGGAGCUCAGCAGGUUGUGGUGGACGGGGAAGAAGAGAGGAAGAAGGUGAAAAGCCUACUCUGCGACCGAGCACUGUUUUGUGUCAUAUCCACAAGGCAGGAGGAUCUAAAGGAGUUGGCAAUCAGAACAACAUUAUAAAAUGAUCCCAAUCUCACUUGUCUACGCAAGCAUGUGUAGGAAAGAUUCAGAGAUGCUAAGGUGGGCUUAUCCUUCUCUCUCUCUGAACCAAAUGCAAUCAUUUCAUGUUCUUAUUCCUGUCCUUUUAGAAGUCUUGAGAUACCCAUGUUUGCUCCCAUUUCAUUCACACAGCUAAGUCGCGUGAUCAUCCACUAAGAUAGGUGCACUUCUUUAAUCGAUCCCAGCGAUUGGAUUCCUUUUGCUGGAUUGACAUGGAAGCCCUCCUGCACAGUAAAACUUGGCUUUUACCAAAGAAAGGCUUCAACUUUCGACACCGUUAAAUGGAUGCCAAUAAAAGAGGUGUAGGAGAGCAAAGAUGAAGAAGAAGAAGAAGAAGUGGAGCAACACUUCCUUCCACUUUCCUCCGAAAGCCGACAGAACACAACACAUCUGUCAUCCAAGUCUCUCGACUCUUAAAGAAACCCAAAGCCUCUCGUGUUCUCACGAGGCAGAAUCUAAAUGGGUGGUGGAGAGCUGGUGCUCUGACUCCAGAACAAAGAAUCAAGCUGUGCAUCUUAAGAUAUCUUACCCUGUCGUUGGUGGACUGUACGCUUCCUUUUAUUCAGGAAGGAGACGAUUCAAGCAGCAGAUCUACCAACAUAUUUUACUGCAGAACGAAGCUAAAUUGAAUGAUCCCUGAUUCCUCCAUGAUCAGUGCAUCUGUGGAACCAACAGAAGCUCUAACAUGUUCCCCUGAUGGGAUAAGACAAGGCAUGUGGGCAUGAUACAGCAUCGCACUCUGGUACUUGGUCUGCAUUGAUAUCAAAUGCUUUGCUUUGUCCACUAGCAGUAGCAACAUUUCACAGGGACUCAAGUGUUGAAUCUGAGACUUCAAUCAAGCACUGAGCUCAUGGUCCCAUAUAGGGCAUGCGCCAAAGGUGAAUGAUGAUUCAAGAAGAGCAUCCGAGCAUCACACAUUCUUUGUCCUCUCUGCCAUUUCCUACGCCCUCCACAUCUACAUGGUUCUUAUCAAGUCAUUGGAAAGGACCUGUAAAGCAACAAUAAAUAUGUAGUUCAUAAGUGAAAGAAAAAGGAAGAAAAAUUCUAUAGUUGUAUGUUUGGGAUAAGUAUGAUCUGCUUUAUAUAAAGUAAUGUGCAUGACAAUGCUUUUCCACAGUCAAUUCCAUCCAUACAACGAAUCCUAUUCUAUGUUAGGUAGAUGGAUAAUAAGCUUUUUUUUAUAGAAUGUUGAGGAGGAGAACAACACCUCAGCUCUAAAAUUCAAAGAUCAACAAUCAAAUAUAAUAUAAAAAUAAUCUUAUUGAUUUCUGUAAACAAAAAUCAAAUCCUUCAACGCGUGAGAAUAAUCAAAUAUAAGGAAUAAAAUUGUCUUUCGAGUCAAUCCAAAAAUUGUAUUGCAAAAAAUGUUUUUUUUUCUCUCUAUAUUUUCAUUUUAGUAAGAUCUUGAGAUACAGAAGAUCAUAUCUCUUAAAAAUCAUUUUCGUACAUGAAUUUUUUGUCAUUCAAAUAAUCUUAUUCCUCAGAUGAUUUUGUUGCUAUUGGGGUUUCACAGAUCUUUUCCCGAGAAUCUGUCUUCUCAACCAAAUCUUGUCCUUGUUGUUCAGCAGAGAUUCUAAUAUGAUCAGGUAAAGCUGUGAAAAUGAGCACAGCAAUGUUGAGCUCUUGAUGAGCAAUCUGAUGUCUACUAACAGUACAUCCCAAUUGCAGUGGGACAGUGCGAAGCCAACAGCUGCUGGCAAUGGCAACAAGCUGAGUACAGACUGCUAGGAAGCUUUUCCACAAGCCAAUCCAUGGUGAUGUAAUUGACUCACCACCCACCAACAUUAUCACACCAACUAUUCCCUGUGUUCAUGCAGCAAAAGCUGGGAGAGCUGCCUGAUGAUGUUCUCUGUCCAUCCACAUCCCACACAUGGAUGACAAGCAACAAAAGGACUCACCCUCAUGUCAUUGAUGGAGAAGACAAGCAGUUUCCCUUCUUGUUCCCUUCGAAAAACUCCGAGAGCUCUCUGUUUUCUUUGCUCCCAUUGGCAGGAACACUGCAUCCUAGAACUCCUACAGUUAAACAUAGGCAUGCCUUACGGAUCAAACAAAAUAUUCGGAUGAGGUAAAAGUCUUAUCCACCCAAAGAUUUAUCCAAGAAUCACUGUUCAUCAAUCCUCAAUGUGGAGAGGCUAUUGUCCAAGUUAGGUGCUUGUCAUGAUAGAGACUGGGAAUACAGAUAAAAGAUGAGGGAUGGCUAUAGAAGCAAUCGACCAAAGCACAAAAUAGACCAUAUUAUAUUUCGAGGGGCUUUUCAAGGAAGACGAUAAUAAAGAUGAAAAGGUUGAAGAGAUAGAGAUGGAGAUAUGAAAGGGUACUUGCAAAGCUAAGAUUGAAGACCUUUGUCCGACGGGCUGAGCGGCAAUUGCUGGGUCAACGAGCUAAGCCGCAAUGGAUGAUCCAACGGGCUAAGCUAAUGAGCUGGGCUGCGCUGACUAGACCAAUCCAGCUCGAUUCGCUGUGCGCGCCCGAUUCCGUGGGUCGCACCAGACCGGCCCUCUCGAUUUGGACCACGACUACAGUAACAACCAGACGGAACCCGAAUCACUCCACGAAGAAAUAUAAUAAUUGCUCAAAAUCAAUUUAUUUAUUUAUUUAUUUUUUGCCCCUUCCCACAAAUCCCACACGCUUUGUACGUGGGUCCCGCGGGGCCCGGUAAUCUGGUAUGGGUUCCGGGGCCGUAGUAUUCGAGGCAUAACCACCACAUCGAUCUCCCCGAGGCGCCCGUGUACAUCACAUGCGAGCCAGCGGCACCGCCCCCCAAGCGUGCCCCGAAGCACAUGGGCGGUCGGCGUUAGUCCCGCAUAACACUCAUCGUGUGAGUCGUUUAAGAUAAAGUUAUCGGUGCCUCACCGUAACGGCCCCGCUGCAAGAAGAGGAGGCACAUCUCACCUGACCCACGCUCUCUCUCCUGCCUAUAAAUUCUCUCCCCGAUCAUUCCCCACCUCUCUUGCUGAUACCGAAGAAGCCAUCGCCAGUAUCGCUUCCUCGAGGGCUUGGAGGAGGAGGACGAGACAGGAAGGAAGCACGCGGGAGAUCGAUCGAAGGAGAAGGCGUUAGGGUUUCGGGUUAUGGGAUUUGGCCGAUGUCGGGCGAGAAGCCACCGGUAGAGUUCUGCAAAGGCGUGAAUGGCCUCGAGAAGGUCGUGCUCAGGGAGGUCCGCGGGAGCUCGGCCGAGGUCCGAUUCAUCUCCCUCUUCUUUUUUGGUAGUCGCUCUUUUUUUGGUUCGUGUUGCUGUUGAAAUUUGCGAGACGAAUUCGAUUCGAGAUCGUUGCCUCUGGGUUCUUUGUGCGCUGGUUGGAUCCGAUUCGAUAGUGCUGGAUCUGAUGCCUUUUUUGCCGUUUGUGAACUUUUCUUUGGUCAAUUGAUUUGAUUGGAAUGAUCUGGAUCUCUAAGGACUUGGUCAAUUCCUGCCGAUCUCAGGAAAUUAGUUUUGGAUAACGCAGUUGCUUGAGAAGUCGGACACACUGCCCGUGUUUUAUGUGCACGUAGAUAUUUACAUGCAAGCUCCGUUGGUGAUCCGGUGAUACUAGUAAAUUUGCGGGGUUUUGCAGCUGUCUUGUUUAGCGGAUUAGAUCAUCCAAUUUAUAAAUAUUAACUAGAGGUGUAAUUAUAUUGUAAUGGUGGUGGUGAUGCAUUUCAUGUUUGGUUCUUCUCUUCAGAAACACCUCGUGAAAUCUUAUUUCUCGAAAGCAAUUUUUAGUUCUUUUGUAGACAAUCUUGACAUGAUUCAUCAUCUAUCUUUCCAAAGCGUUGCAAGAAGAUUAUAUACAGAGAUACUUUCUGAUAAUACUGUCUUCUUUUUCAAAUUUGCUUGUCUUGGUAAGUUAGAAGGAUAAUGUUGCCUAAGGUGGUUUGUCAUCUGGAAGCAGGCGAAAACUGUCCUCUCUAUAAAAUAUAGUGCAGGAAGUCCAUCUGGGAUAUGUCAGGAAACUAGAUUUUGAGAUUUGCUGAGUGAAUUAUGCACCACAGAUAGGAGGCUUUUCCAUGAGGAUACAAUUUACCUUAAAUUCUUUUCUAGGAACUAAUUGUUGUGCAUGCACAGUUCUGAGAAAUACUAGAAGGGGCCAUAUGAUUUACAAUUUUAGGCCGUUGCGGUAGUCUGCUGGUAAAAUAUUUGUGGAUCAAAUUUGUCUGUGCCUAUCACCCUCUCAUGCAAUUGUGAUGAUCAGGUAACUUCUUUCUACACUGAGUGAAGUUGUUCUGAUUUUGUCUGAAUAAUUGUUUAAUGAGAUGUGGUACUUGCUGUUGGAUGAUGUUCAUGAGACCUUAAAAUUUCUUAGGCUGUUUAUUUUUGCCAAAGUCUGCCGCAAACAUCAUUGGUUUUGCUACCGUUAAAUCACCAACUCUCUUUAUAUUAAUUGGUAACUGCUACCGUUAAAUCAUCAUUGAGCAGGUAGUCCAUGAUUAUAUUUAUUUUGUUAGCUUCCGAAUUGCCAAUCCAUUGAAUAAUGUUGAACAUUUGAAUUAAAUAAGUUUGAAGACAAUGUAAUAAAUUUUAUAUUAAUUGCAUUGAUGACACCAUAUGGGUGUUGUUAUUCCUCGAGUUGUGGCAUUUGUAUAAUACUUGGGGUGUAACAACCCAAAAUGUCAUUGUUUGAGUCAUGAAAACAAACAGUAAGAAUGCUUAUGUUGACCUUUCUCCAAACCCUGCAUUAGUGAAAACCUUGUGCACUCGGCUAGCCUGUCUGAAAUUGACCUACACUGCCUUUAUAAUGUUCAAGUACUCUUGGUACAAAUUUUUUUUGGCCUGCUCAUUUGUUUACAAGAUAGAGAUUGGUACAACGUUUCUAGCCUAAUUACUUGUUGUAUAAGAUAGAGACUAGAAAGCUAAUCUUUGGUUCUUAGUGCAUAUUAAUUUAAAUAAAUACUGUCUUUCAUGUGAUUAUAUGAAAUCAAGUGGUACACCCAGGUCUGCUUACCAGGACAGGGGUGGACCAGUAUGCAUCCCCCUGUGCAAUGGCCUAUAGCAUAGUUUGAUUCCUUGCUUCGAUUGGCACUAGUACAAAAUCAAUUUAGUAAGGUAUAUAUCAUGCACCUAUUUCAGAGAUAUGUAUACAAAAACAGAAAUACAGGUUUUGCAGAUUAGUGGUAAAUUGUAAUGAACUGGUCUUUUUGGUACAUGAUCAUGAAGUCUUCCUUGCUUGCGACCCUUGCUUAUGUAUCACUAGUUUCAUAGGGAUGCAACUUAUGAUGUCACGAGAACUUUAUUUGAGGCAACCUCGUCUGUCCUUCCAUCUUCCUUUUGAUCAUGUUUGGCCACUUGUCCUUUUUAUUGUGAAUAAGUUCUCUCCAUCCAUGCUACGUUCCUUUCUACUUACGAUAGAAAUAGGCAUAAUUUACUACUACUAGUCCUGAUCCCAUGUUCUGCUAGUUAGACAAUUUUUCAUCAUUGUUUUAUGCAUUGUUCUCAAUCUGUUACAUAUUAGUGGGUUUCUGCAGUUUAAUGACCUUCAGUUUUUUCCUCUCUUUGAUAACUUGGUCGAGCCAACACUAGCUGCUUGGCAGUCUUUGACGUCCUCACAUUUGACUCAUAAAAAUAAUGCUAAUUUAUUAGCAAUGGGAUUUCUUGAAUGGGACAGUUGGACAAAUAAAUCAUCAGACUCUAUUCAGUUGAUGUUGAUUGCAGCAAGUCUAUAUUAUUUAUGUUUUGCCAGAUAUAUUUUGUUCUACCACAGCUAGAGUUGCAUUUUGAUUUUUUUUUCCCUAAAAAAGUCACACAAAACACUUUGUAAUGACUUUAUUUGUUGUGUUGUGCCAAAUAAAGACAAGAAAAAGGGUGGAGAUUAAGUCUCUGUGAGAUUUUAUUCUUCUAGUGUUUGUCCUGGUAAGGUUGGAUGGUUGUUCCUCAAUUUUCUCAUUCAUAACAUGUUGGAGGAAGUGGCAAAAGGACUUGGAAGGUGUAGGUUGGCUAGUGCUGUUUUUCCAGUCUUGAUCCUUGAUCCAUGCAUGACCAUCAUUUAAUCCGUGUACUCAUGGUGGUCAUCUGUCAUAUGACCAAAUUUCUCCAUGCUUAUUUCCUUGUCACGUGGCCAUCCUAUAGUCUUUGGAACUUGCUAUCCUCUCUACUUCUUCUACUUCUUCUUAGCAGACAACUGGAAUUAGUUACUUGGGAAAACAUCUGGUUCACUAACAUGCACCGGAUGAGCCUUUUCACUAACAGUAGUGGUUGAUACAUUGUAACUUCCAAGGGAGGAAUACGGUGGUUAUUGGUUGCUUUACAUAGCAAAUUAAUAGUGAUAUUAGUUUUUGAUUAUCGUUAUGCAAUUUACAUCAUCCUGUUUCUUGCAGGUGUAUUUGUAUGGUGGUCAUGUGACUUCUUGGAAAAAUGACCAUGGGGAGGAGUUGCUCUUUCUCAGCACUAAGGUAUCAGAACUAUAUUUUCAGUGUUUGAUAGGAGUUUAGUCAUAAAGUUGGUUAGACCUCUCGGUUGAGCAAUGGUAAACUUAUAUAUAAACAUAUUUAUGCCUAGAAUAUGGUUAAAUAAUUGCCUUCCAACCUGUGAACUAGGAGCUGGAAAAAUAACCUUUUCUGCAAGCUUUCAUUUGCUUAUGGUGCUUUCACAUGAUGGACUAGUGUCUCUAAUGGGAUUCCAGGUUGUUAAAUAAUAGAGCAAUAAGGCUAGAUCCUCGACCAUCCAUUUGCUUUUUAUAAUACUAAAGAAAAAAAAUAAAGAAAAGGAUGCUAAGCAAUAGCAAAAGAACAUACCAGCAAUCUAGAGUAUAUUAAUUUAGAUCAUUAAAAAAUAUUUCCUUAUUUUUGAUUUAACAAAUGAGAUGAGGUAUAUAUCAAGUUUAAACCUCUUUUCUUGUAAUGAAUGCACCUUGCAGGAUUUUUUGGUUCCAGUUUGCAUAAAGGCUGUUACUUCAUAAUGCUUGUCUAAGUCAGCUAGAAGCAUGAAACUCUAUUUCCUAUGUUACAAAUUUUGUCCCCUGGGCCUCCAAAUUUAUAGGAAUUCUCAUUCAAAGGUCUUGCUUGGUCUUGUUGGAUCAGACCAAACAAGACGUUAUGCAAACUAACGCAACCUUAAUCCAUCCACUUCAUAGCAAUCUUGAUGGACCUUACUAGUUGUGUCACAUUGUUCAACUCAUGAAGUUAACUCUCAUGUCCCAAAAGCUAACUGAAUUUCAUUUGACCAUCCCAAUAAUAACCUGAAUUCUUGGUUCUGCUUACAUUGAAACAAAUAUUUAAAUGCCACCAGAACAAGUUCAUUUCUUGUGGCUUCUACAUUUACAAGCACUUGGAAGUCAUUGUCUUGGAAGCUACUGUUUGCCAAUCUUCACUUUAUGAAACUAUAGUCCUAUAAAUUUUUACCACUUGCAUCCAGCGAAACAGGCUCAUGGAAUUCGAUUGCAGCAGCUAAUCUGUUUGGUUACCAGAUGCUAGAUUGAAGUGUCUCAAUAAGUUUUAUCCAGUUUGUGUUUUUUUUUGUGUAAUUUUCACCUAUUUUAGGAAGUAAUUGUUUUCCUAACUUUAGUGUUGUACAAUUGGGGCCAUGUUGAAAUUUAUAUGAACUUAUUUUAAGCUCUUAGAUAGUUAAUAAUUAUCUCGGAACAUGUUAAGUAGCCAUCCUCUUGCUCACUUUUCUUUUUUGUUUUCGUUGAUACCACAAAGAGGCUGUAGGCAUUGGUUGUUUGUGAUUAAAAAAUGAGUCAAGGGUUUGCUUACAAUAAUUGUUCUGAUCUCAGUGCCCAUUUGAGGCUGAUCUUGCGUUUGCAUCCAUGACCUUUGUAACAAGGUAUACAUAUGUAAAGUGAACUACUCAAUUUACUUAGACCUAGGGAUGUCGUUGAAGGAUCUUAAUUCUCUUUGGAAACAGGAUCUUCAAUUGUAGCUUGAAUUACAAGUUUCUAAAAUGAUUUUCAGAUAUUUGGAAAAAAAGUUAUUCAUGGUUUUGUUCAUUGCUUAAGGAUUUUACUCUGUUCAGAGCUCAAUGAUGGAAAAAGAUUUGCGACAUUAUGGUUUGUUGUUCUGUUGAUUGCUGGCUGCUCAGUCAACAUCAGGUUUUGACAGAACUUGUCUUGAAUCUGUAAUAUCCAGCAUCAUAUUCUAAUAAAUCUGGGACCUUAUUUCAUACGUAAAUUCUGUUUCAAGUCCAUAACAACUAGCUCACUUUUUGCUGUUCUAUAUAUUUGAAACUCAUUUGGCAGUGUUUGAUACUAUGCCAGAUCACUGUUUGAUUGCAAAACAUGGAUGAAAAUUCUGACUUUUUCUCAUCAUCCAUUAUGUAAGUCAUAUGUCACUUAUAUAAGACUUGUGAAUAGAACUUCGAGAACAUCAUGAUAAUCACUAAAGCAUGAUAGUAGGAUCUAUCUAUUACAAUUUCUAGAUAUGAGGAUGAUUAUAUUUAGUUAGUCUGGCUCGGGUUCCUUGUCUUCUUUUACUUGCUAUAGCUAGUUGCUUGUCCACUGUCAAUCUUUCUCAUCUUGUUUCUACUUUCUACAAUUAAUGAUUUGUGAUCAAGGUGCAUCAAUUACUUUCGUAAAUCCUUUUUUCUUAAUUCAAAAGUGGUCACUGAGUUUUAUUAUCUUACUUUAUCAUUUUAACAUGUGUAACUGAUGUGUUUUCAUCUUCUUCAUGAUCACAUGGGCUGUCAUAUUUGUUUUUUGUUUUUCUUCUAGGCCAUUUUCAAGCCUCCAAAAGCUAUACGCGGAGGCAUUCCGAUAUGCUUUCCUCAAGUAUGACGUUCUUUUGACUAUAGUUAUUAUAUCUUUUUAUUUUUGGAUCUAUUACAUUUCUCACUCAAUGUAAUAAAUAUGCAGUUUGGGAGCCAUGGAAAUCUUGAACAGCAUGGCUUUGCAAGGAAUAGGCUUUGGAGUAUCGAUUCUGAUCCUCCUCCUUUUCCUACAGUUAGCUCCAAUAAAGCUUUCAUUGAUUUGAUCUUUAAACCUAGUGAAGAUGAUCUUAAGUUAUGGCCUCAUAGGUAAAAUAAGUAUUGGCACCAAUUAUUUAUUCUAUUUGAGCUGUAAUGAUGUAUAGCAAGGUCUUUUGUUUAUUUAUAUUUUUAUCAUUGCAAUAAAUCUUUAGUAAACUUUUAAGCUUGGAUGACUCCUGAAAACUUUGAUGCUCAUAUCUUCUUUUUGUGCAGUUAUGAAUUCCGUUUAAGGAUUACACUAGGGCCUGGAGGAGAUCUAAUGCUGACGUCACGCAUUAGAAAUACUGAUGGAAAACCAUUCUCCUUCACAUUUGCCUACCACACUUAUUUUUCUGUUUCUGAUAUCAGGUAAUAUAACUCACUGGUAUCUGCUUAGCUUUAAAUGUUCUUGUGCUAUGCUGCUGAUAUUUUAGUGACAUUUUCUCUGAUAUCGAGAACAUCUGAAAUGUCUUGUGAAUUUUAUUGGUUGAUGAAAUAUAUCAUUUUUAAAUAAUGGAGGAUGCAAUUUUUUAUAAUUUUGUGCUGUUACCAAAAAUUUUUUUGUGCUUCAACAUCAAACGAAUAUUUCAGUGAAGUUCGAGUUGAAGGGCUGGAGACGCUUGAUUACCUUGACAACCUAAAAGCCAAGGAACGUUUCACAGAACAAGGAGAUGCAAUUACUUUUGAGUCUGAAGUAAGUACAUGAGAUGAUCAUUUGUUGAUUCAUAACCAUUUUGAUGCUAAAUUAUCUUUAUGACAGGUGGACAAGAUCUAUUUGGGGACACCGAGCAAAAUAGCAAUUCUAGAUCAUGAAAAAAAACGAACCUUUGUCUUGCGGAAAGAUGGGCUUCCAGAUGCAGGCAAGUUCACAUUGUCCUUUGCUGUCUCUUUAUUGUAGCUUUCUUUGAUGGUGUUUUAAUAAAAGAAGCUAACCUUUUGGAUCCUAUGACCUGGCUAUUUUACUAACAUAUUAUUGUUUUUUUUUUUGUCAGUGGUAUGGAAUCCUUGGGAGAAGAAGGCCAAAUCCAUGGCGGAUUUUGGCGAUGAUGAAUACAAGCAUAUGCUAUGUGUGGAGGCUGCAGCUAUUGAGAAGCCCGUCACUCUGAAACCUGGCGAGGAAUGGAAGGGAAGGCUGGAGCUAUCUACUGUUCCUUCCAGUUACCGCAGUGGGCAGCUGGAUCCUCAAAGGGUGCUUCAAGGAUGAAAACCAUUAUGCUUUAUGGUAAGCUUUUCAAUCUGUAGCUUUUAUCAUUUAUCAUGCACAAAGAGGUAUAAGUAUGGGCACUGAUGGUAGUGUAUACAGGAUCUGGGUAAUUCAGUUUUGAGGUGCUAGGAGUACUAUAGAGUAUAGACAAUCAUCACUUGAUGUGAUAGGACCUUACUCAUAGUUGUUUGAUUGAAUCUUAAUUUGUUUUAAGGAUUAGUGCAAAGAUUGUAGACAUUUGUGGCAUCUAUGGUUAGAACACACAAGCUUACUACUGUAACUUGCAACUAUAGUAUAUCAUCUACUUGAGUUGAUUCACAAAGAUACCCCCUCGACUGAGCUCAAUGGAAGUGAAAUAGCCAUGCAUUCUACACCUAGUGGCUGGGACCUUAUGCCUUGUUUUUGUUGUCGUCUAGUGCUACUUUAGUUGAGCCACACGACUAAUUAUAGCAUGGAUUGUGUAAGAACAAGUUUUCAUUUAACCUUGUUUGUCUGCUCUUUAUGCGUUCUCCUAUGGGUCAUUUGUUAUAACUGAGAUAUCAAACUCUCUUAAUCAGACCUUGUUUAUAUCAUUUAUCAACAAUAAUUAUGUUGAAAUUAUUGUUUUAAGUAAUAUUUUUUAGUUUUAGCUUGAUAGCAUCCCAUAUCUUUUAGGAUAUUCUUUCUCGUGAGGUUUAUGUAUUCCUGUAAUUUUCGUAUAUUUGGUAUGCUAUUAUAAUCAUUACCUUUGUAAAAUGUUUUUAUAACCUAGUUUGUCUUUGCCAGUUCUCCCUCAUAAGAACCAAUAGAUCUGGUCUACAUGCUCGCUGACAUGGUGCAUCUUUGUAAUUAUCAGAUUUGCAGGCACACUUCUUUGUCGGAUGCUUGGCAUCAAGUUAAAGCUCUGUCAAGCUCUGUCCUGUCCGUUGGCGGUAAGUUAAAAUCUUUGUUCAUCUCUUUUUUUUCCUUUUUUUUUUCCACCUGUCUUUUGUAUGUAAGGUGGGCUCAAGCAGACCUGUGAAAGGGUAAUGUUGGAUAUGUUUCAAAACAUACAACGGGGAUUGUAGAAUGCUCAAUAAGUCUGACUUGUGCUUUGCUUCUGUAUACUGUCAUAAAAUCAAAAUUUUUGAGUCUGUGAUAAGAAGGCCUUUGGCACCCUCUGAGUUGCUGAUUGAUGCAGUUGAUGUGCAACACUUUCAUUCAUUAUUGAUAUACUUGGCUAUUAUAUAUUUAGCAAGUGUCCGUAUCUAACAUGGAUACAAAUAUUUCUUGAUAUGUUCAAUAAGAGUUGUUGACACUAACCGAAAUGUCACCAGGAAGUAGAGGAGGGAUAUAUAAUAUGAUAAUAUCAAAUUUGGAAGUGGUUCAUAUGCAGUUUUCAAAUCUAAAGCUCAUUUGUUAAUCAAUCUCUACAUCUUAACUUGGAUCAUGGGAUUGAUGGAAUACAAAUAUUGAAGCAUGCAUCUUGCCCUCCUUUUCGCGACGGUGGAAACAAUGGUCGACUAAAGACCAGGAUAGCCGGUAACAGAGGAGGCUGUAGGUGGAAAAAAAGCUUAGAUGAGGGAAAGCCCUCAAGUUAAAACUAGUUGUAAUUAAUCUUGUAAUCGUGACACCUAAACUCUCCACCUAAGCUACAUUCACCACUCUGAAAUGUACAUUAAUCUUUUUACUCCUCAUCAAAACACGGACAUAUUCAAAGUCGUUUUAUUAUAGUAAUAUCGUCGUGAUGCCACAAUCUAAUGGAAGUCAUGACGUGGACCAACAGCUCCUUUUUCUUUCUUAGAUGCCAAGCAUCAUCUCCCUACUUUAUUGGUCAAGCCGUCAGCGGUUGGGUAGCAAAUUUGAAGCUUCCGAUUAAUUCUCCAUCCUCCAUUUCUACAUCCUCGUAUCCCAACCCUCCGUUAAUGCGACAAGUCAAGAAGUUCUAGAUGAUUGCGAUGGGAGGACUGCGAACUUUCAAAUGGGAGAAUCUCGAUUAAUAAUCAAAUCCACCAACUUUCUUCUAUUUAUUCUUCGAUUGCUCGAGUAAAAUUCAAGACCCAAGGUUCGGAACACGCGGUGGGGCCUCCUGUCUUAGAAGCCGCCAAGGCAUGACUCCGGCCGUCUGAUUCGUGCAACGUCUUGCAGAACAAGGCACUUCUCCUCCCGUCCUCCCGAAUCAUCUCCAUCGUAAUACAUCCUACGCGGUCAUACUUUUAGACGAUCAAGAUCUGUUCCCGUCACAAUCAACGGUGGAUCAAGACGGUUGCAUAUAUGUUUACAUGCAUACAACCGCAUAUACUAAUCCACUCCGUAGCGGGCGCCAACCCGUAACGGCAAUGAAUAUAUUCAUAUAAAUAGAAGCGGGAGGCAGCCUCGAGGCUCCAACUCGACGACUUGGAAGGCAGCAGCCAUGGGAGGAGUCGCAGGCGAUGGGAGCUCCAGGAGCAGGGUGGUUGUGGUCGGUGGAGGAGUCGCCGGGGCGUUCCUCGCGAAGCCUUUGCAGUUUGUCGCCGACGUUGUCGUCAUCGACUCGUAUGUUUCUCUCCCUCCUCCUUGUCUUCUCUCCACCCUGCGCCUUCUUUUCCCUGGUUGCUCGGUUAGAUUUCGUCUUGGCGACGAGCUAUUCUACUUGUGGAGAUCACUCUUUUUGAUGGUGUUUAUAUCCCACCUUAUCUCCCUUUUUCUGGAUUGGAACGAUUUUGAUGUAAAUUUUACCGGAAAGGGGGGUUUUCGGUUGAGCGGUGUGCUCUUUGUGGGGUAUAGAUUCACCAAGUAGAUGGUGUCCUAAAAAUAUGCUUAGCGUUCAAGUGAAUGUGGGAUGACGCUAUUGAAGUUUGUAUCCUCACAAUUGCAAAUGUUAGGGUUUUUAUGUAUUUCAGCGACAUAACCGAUGACUCUUUUGUUAGCGUGCUUGUAAUUGUUCGAUCAUCACAAUCGCCUAAGUAUAUAAGACAAUACAAGAAAUAAACACGACGAUAUUGGAAUUUGAUAUGCAUGCAAGUAAAUUCUGUUUAGUGCUUUAGAAAAUUAUUUCCUUACAAUUGCAAAUUUUAGGGUUCUUGGGUAUUGUAGGGACUUGAGCAAUGAUUCCUUUGGUUGCACGCCUUUAGUUGUUUGAUCAUAAUCGACUAACCAAAUAGGACCAAAAAAAUGUCUUGACCUUCUCAUGUGAAAUUUGCUAGGGAUACAAGUGAAUUUUCAUUGAUACUUAUUUUAGGUGGCUUAUGUAAUGACUCCUAUAGUUGAAUGCCUGUAAUUGUUUAAUCAUCAUCACCUAACCAAACAAGACCCCAAAAAGGGCCAUGACAUCCUCAUGUUAUGAAGAAUCUUAUGCAUAAAAGAUUUAGGUGACAUUCUGAUACAACAACAUCAAAACUGACUGUGACUAAAAUGAAAGUAAAUUUCUGUUCCAAUCAUCCAAUAAAUUCUCUAGCUGUUUGUGCUUUCCUUAUAUGUUUCCUUUGACCUAUGAUAUCAGGAAGGAAUAUUUUGAGAUGCCCUGGACAGAAUUAAGAUCAAUGGUGGAGCCUUCAUUUUCUGGCAGAACACUGAUUAAACACACUGAUUACCUUAGUAAUGCAAGAAUUAUAACAUCUUCAGCAGUCGGUAUCACUGAAGACCAGGUGUUGACAGCAGAUGGAGAUUCAAUUACUUUUGAUUAUCUUGUAAUUGCCACUGGUCAUGCAUACUCAACUCCUAAAAGCAGAGAUCGCAGGCUUGAACAGUUUGAACAAGGUAAGCAUUCAGCAUUCUUUCCUUGUCUGCAGUGUGAAGUUUCAGGACAAAAUUGGAACUAUCUUUAUGUUUCAGUGUUAUGUUUCUUCGUGCUGAUAGAUAACUGAAAUUUUCCUUAUCAUGUUUUAUCUGAUUCAAACAUUUGAAGUAGCUAAACAUUGGCUUUACCAAUAUUUGGUCAUCCUGAGUAAAAGCAAUUAGCAAAGUUCUUUGUUAAAGCCAGAACAACCAGUUGAUAUUGCCAUUUGAUUAUUUAUUAGAUACAUAUAGCUUAAUAGAUAUAUACUUAUCAUCUCAGCUUUAUGUCUGUUUAUUUACCUUAGAUCUGCAUCUUUAGCCAACAGGUUUGGUUAUGGAUACUGAUGGAAUCAAUUAUCUUGCACUGCUCAUAGAGACAUACACUAUGCUUAAUUGCUUCUGUUGACCUCGAAAGAUCCACACUGGUAACAUUUUGACACUUCAGUUAUACUUGCAAGAUCUAAGUCCUGGGUAAUUAGCACAUGAUCUGCAACUUUUAGAUGUUCACAAAUUUGUAGUUUCCUCUCUGGCUUCAGAAGUCAUGUCAGAACGGAUUAUGUGUCAAUUUGUUUCCAUUUCAGUGUCUUCUUUGCAUAAAAAGGCAGUUGAGUACAACAUAGGUUUCAGGUUUUCAACUAUUUUGAUGAUCAUUUCCCUACUUGAGAUCUGCACACACUGUUCUGUUUGAGUUAGAAAAACAAUACAUGUUAAUUAUCUGUGAUACAUUCUCUUGCAAAGAGUUAGAAGUAUACAUGUCUUUAUCCUGGACUUCUUUCCUGUAUCUAGAUCCGAUGAGAUAAUGACAUAUUUAGUAUUAUACAGCAAUCGUGUCGUGUUGCACUCUAUUGAUGGCUACCUUUUGUUUUAUAUUCAGACAGCCAGAAGAUAAAAUCUUCCCAGUCUAUUUUAAUCGUUGGAGGGGGUCCAACUGGUGUUGAACUUGCUGGAGAGAUUGCAGUUGACUAUCCAGAGAAGAAGGUGACCAUAGUCCACAAAGGGUCAAGGCUGCUGGAAUUCCUAGGACCCAAAGCUUCUAAAAAGGCAUUGCAUUGGCUGACAUCGAAGAAAGUAGAUGUGCUCUUAGGGCAGUCAGUUGACUUGAACUCCAUUUCAGAAGCUGAUGGAGCAUACAUGACUUCAGCCGGAGAAAAGAUUGCAGCUGAUUGCCAUUUUGUCUGUAUUGGCAAGCCACUGGGAUCAUCAUGGCUUCAGAAUUCUGUUCUCAAGGAUUGCUUGAACGAGAAAGGCAGGUUGAUGGUUGAUGAGUGCUUCAGGGUCAGAGGUCGAAGCAACAUCUUUGCCAUUGGAGACAUUACCGAUGUUCCUGUAAGUCGUAGUCUUCUUAGAAUGAACUCACUCUCAAUUAUAUUGACAAGAAAGAUGAAUUAGUGAAGAAGAAAUGCCUCAGUAGAUGUAGAUUAUAAUAUUUCGAUUUAGUUCCAGGCUAAUUCAGUUAACGGAUUAUUUAUCUCAUCGAGACAGCGCAUGAUAAAAACCUUCUCUCUUUGGUAAUGUAUGUGUGGUUUUCAUUUGCAGGAGAUCAAAGAAGGAUACAUUGCUCAAAAACAUUCUGCGGUGGUGUCGAAGAACUUGCAGCUGCUGAUGAAGGGAGGGAAGGAGAGCAAACUGGUGAAGUACAAGGCCGCUUCUGCCACGACCAUUGUGUCUCUGGGUCGAAAAGAAGGCGUGGGGCAGUUCCCGUUCGGCACGGUGAUCGGGUGCCUGCCGGGGCGGAUCAAGUCCAAGGACCUGUUUGUGGAAAAGACUAGGAAGAAUCUGGGUCUCGACUCCUGAUGGCCUAAUCUGAGAGAUGAUGAUGUGUUUGUGUUGCCUCCUUGUUGUGUUCUGCAUGUUUGUUGGGGUUUCUGCCGGUGUCAGAACUAUUUAUAUAUAUAGAUCAUGUUGAUGAGCUCAUAAGAGCUGUUUAAUAGUUUGGCUGUGGGCUUUCAGAACACAUUUGCAC